rnacentral:lncRNA from 1 species
AGGGAAGAAAAUCUUGUGGGAGUAGGGCUUCUAACAAUCCUCCAUGUGUGCUUCCUUUCUGUUUGCGUUGCUGAUAAAAAUCAGACCUUCAAAUCUUCUUGCGGAGAUAUGAACAUCAGUGACCCUUUCUAUUUGGAAGAUGAUUAUGCGCCUGACGUCUUUUAUCAUUACUUGAACUUGAUCUGUGAAAAUAAUCGUACUAUGGUAAACCUCGAUUACGGCGGAAAAUACCAUGUUGCAGACAUCAACUACAGUAGCUAUACCAUUCGGGUAGUGGAUCCGGGCCUAAAGGAAAAGGGCAUGGGAAACUGUUUCUCCUAUCCUCUCUAUUACUUCCGCAUAGAUCAGUAUCCAUAUGAUGUUCCUACAGAUUCUCAUCCUGUAGUUUUCAUUACAUGCCCAUGGCUGAUCACUGGUGACAAGAUUCAUAAGUACAUUCCUAUCAUUCCAUGCAACACGAAUCGCAGCUCCCCUUUCUCGCAACCAUACGCGUAUGCAAUAGUUGGAGAUUUGGAGUUCAGAGAUAUUCCCGAUUCAUGCAUCCUUGAUGGGAAUAUCGUCACUCAGUCAAAGGCAGUUGCGGAGGGAAGACAUUUAUCAAUGUCAGAUUUGCAAGAAGAGCUACUCAUGGGGUUUGAACUUUCAUUUCUGUAUUCCAUCUGCGCCAUAGAAUGCGAAGUGAAAGGGCUAUCCUGUGAUCUGAAUUUCACCAGCAAUACUUUCAAAUGCCACCACUCCAGCGCCGUAGAAUGUGGGUAUUACGUCUGCUUAAAGCCAAAAUUUGAGUAACAUUAUCAUUAAAGCCUCGUAAAGGAGGCUUGGAGUAAUGAAUUAGAUGUUAUUCAUGCAUGAUGAAAACUUUGAAGUCAAUUUUGAAGUGCCCCAUCAGUGACUAAUGUGUCUAUAUGAAUAAACAAUCAUGCAGGGAUCUGGAAAAUCUUGACAAUCUUGAUUAACAUUCCGAUUGUCUUAUAUGGUAAGGCCUCCGAGUUUUCCUUCUUUUUUUUUUGUCCUUAUUUCUCGAUAAUUUUCUUUUUUGUUUCAGUGAUAAUAAUAGUGAUAUUUUCACUUAUAUCUUUCUUAUUUUGAAUUCGAUAUCCUCUCUUACUCACAGCAUACACAUGGUAUCCCGAAAAUUUUAAAAUUUCAGGUGAGGCUUAGUAGCUCUCUCUUCAUAUUAAAUCAAUUACUUAUGCUUCCUUUUUUUCUUCAAAUUAUACAGAAUUGUUUUGCACUCAAUUCUACUUGCAAAAACUCAGAUUACUUGAUUGAUUCAAUCAUGCAGGACUUGAAGAAGCGCUCAAGUAUGGCGACUAUGCGUCCAUUGGUAAGUUUGAGGGGGAGUUCCGCUAUAUUUACCAACUUAAUUUUGCAUAGUCAUCAUUAUUUGUAGUUGUACUACAACUAUCCCUCCUCUUGUAUAAUAAGGAUGAUUUGAAGAUUAUAAUUAUAACUUAAUUUAAUUCAUAUUCUUUUCUGAAUUUAAUUUAUGUUAUUCUUUUCUUAUCAGGAUACUGGAUAUUUCAUAAGAUUGGUAAGACUUCUCGUUCCCAACUUUUAAUUCUUCGUGGAAUAAUAUGUAUCUAUAAUGAAGCCUUUUUAUAUGAACACCUUUGAAUUUUUUUAUCCAACUGGGCCCUCAUUUAUAAAAUCAAAAGCUUAUAAUAAUAAUAAUAAUUGUUAUUAUUAUUAUUAGUAGUAGUAGCUUAGGGGAUUUGGAAUGCAUAUACUCUGGUCUAAAUUCAGUUUCUAGUCCACUUGUAUACAAAAAAAGUCAAAACUGUGGGAUCGGAAAUGAGGCCCCCAAAUCCAAAGCCCCAAUUUUUUCUUUACUACCCUGCAUAUUACUUCCAUAGAGAGCCCCCAAGCAGCACAGUUCAAAACUCAAAUCCAAUCUCAAAAGGUUUCACAAUACCUUUAUUUUUAGAUUAAUGAGCAAGGCAACUGCCUAAUGGUUUACUUGGUGGAUUUAAUAUUAAUUGAAUGCAUAUGAUCAUAAACAUUUUCUAAUAUAUUUCAUAUUUUUUGUGUUGCUUUAUGCAUGUUCAGUCAUAAUAUACAAUGGAGUACGAAUUGUACUUGGGAUGUUCAUGUUUGCCUAUUUAAUCUACAAGUUUCGGCGGAGACACUUAUCAUUAGAUGAUAAUAUUGAAGAAUUCCUACAAAAUCACAAAAGUCUUCAACUCAUAAAGUACUCUUAUUAUGAUAUAAAAAAGAUGACCAACAGUUUCAAGGAUAAAUUAGGACAAGGAGGCUUUGGCUCUGUUUAUAAGGGAAAGCUCAAGAGUGGUCGAGUUGUUGCAGUAAAAGUACUGGUUAUGUCUAAAGCUGAUGGGCAAGAUUUUAUCAAUGAAGUGGCUACAAUUGGAAGGAUCCAUCAUAUUAAUGUGGUGAAACUUGUUGGAUUUUGCAUAGAAGGUUCAAAAUGGGCUCUUAUAUAUGACUUCAUGCCUAAUGGAUCUCUUGAUAAGUUUAUUUUUCCGAAACAUGAAAACAAUACCCCCUUAAGUUGGGAGAGGUUGUAUAAGAUUGCACUUGGAGUAGGGCAUGGGAUUGAAUACUUACAUCAAGGUUGUGAUAUGAAAAUUCUACAUUUUGAUAUCAAACCACACAAUAUUCUUCUCGAUGAAGACUUCACUCCAAAAGUUUCAGAUUUUGGCCUUGCAAAGUUGUAUUCAACAGAUGAAAGUAUUGUUUCUCUCACAAAAGCAAGAGGAACAAUGGGAUACAUUGCUCCAGAAUUGUUCUACAAAAACAUUGGAUGCAUAUCAAAUAAGGCCGAUGUUUAUAGUUUUGGAAUGUUGUUGAUGGAAAUGGUGGGUAAAAGGAAGAAUUUGAAUGCAUUAGCAGAUCACUCAAGUCAAAUAUACUUCCCAUUAUGGAUAUAUGAUAAAUUUGACCAAGGGGAGGACAUUGAAAUGGGAGAUGCCACAGAUAAUGAAAAAAUAUCUGUAAAAAAAAUGGUGAUAGUUGCAUUAUGGUGUAUACAGAUGAAGCCCACAGAUCGUCCUUCGAUGAGCAAAGCAUUGAAGAUGCUAGAAGGUGAGAUUGAACUCUUGCAAAUGCCUCCUAAGCCUUCUCUAUAUUAUGAUGUAUUGAAGGUAGAGGAUCAGGUGAGCAAUCAAGUAGGAGUACCGGUUUCAUCACUUAAUGCCAUGGAUACAAUCACCUUAACCGGAAGGUAGUGCCACAUUGUAUCUACUUGCAUGCUUUGUCCCUUGAUAAUGUUUUCUUGGCUUAGAUGUAAGGAUCGUUGCUUUUCAUGUAUCAAAUGUAUUUGUCCUAAAGCACUGGCUUGGUUCCUAGAAGGUCUCCAUACAUGAGUAGUCUUCUCCAAGGCCUUUGAAAUUCUUAAAUAAAGUUUUGUUUCCUUUCAAGCAAGUUUCGUUCAUUUUUUAAUAUUCUGAAGUAAAAAUAUUUAUGGUUGCAGAGUAGUGAUUAAAGACUAGUGACAAACCAUAUUACAAUCAUCUUGAUUCAUGGAGCUGAAAUUUUAUUUCAAUAUAUAGAAUUUAACAUUUUUUUCAGCAAGUGCUGUAUUAGAGCUAAAAAUUCGUAGGUAGCAGCUUCGCAAACUGUACUACCAAGUGUAGCAGCUUCGACUACCACUAGGUAGCAUGCUUCCUACAAACAAAGGAAAGUUCCAUAUGGGGGUUGGUUUGGCAUAUCCCUAUUUAAUCGUAAGUUAGCACUCUGGUGGCAACAAAAUGGAGAGAAAAGGAAAAGAAGACAGUGUCCUUGGCAAAACUUAGGUGGGCUUAAUCAAACACAAAAGAAAUUGAACUAUCCAAAAGUGCUGGUCUAAUCUAAAUGUGUAGGCCCAAGCGUACAAACACAAAAAUAAACUGCCCAAAAGUCUAGGUUCAAUCCAAAAAUAUAGGCCCCACCCAGCUGUACAGACACAAAUCUAGGUUUAAUCAUCCAAAUUUCUAUAAAAUUAUAAAUGGGUCAAUGAUUAUAUGUGGAUAACUAAGUUUAUUUAUCACCAAAUUUUUUUAUUUAUUUUUAAAUUUUUUAAUGUUUACUUAUUUUCAGUUGUUUUUUUUUACUUUUUUGGUUCACAUCCUCCCAAAAUAAACCUCUACAAAUAAAUUAAUUGCAACAUUCAUACUACUUUUUAUAUUUCAUGCAUAUAGAAUAAUGGUAAAAAAAAUAUAAAUUAAAAAAAAACCCCAGAAAAAACAAUAAAAAUAGAACAACAUGAAAAAGAAAUAAAAAAUAAAUUAAUUUACAUUAAAAAAAAAAAAACUAUUAGAAAAAGAUAGAAGAGGGGGAACAAAAAAAACUAAAAAGGUAUCUUUAAUACACAACUUCUUGAUAAAAUACUAAAAUUAUGUCUUCAUCACAACUUCAUAAUACUUUACUAAUAAUGUAAUGAAAUCAUGUCUUCGAGGCUUUGGGACGGGUUGGGUCCCAAGUAAUUAUCAUUCCCACUCUAAUAAAAACAUUUAAACAAGGUGAGGCGGGUUCCACCCCGUGUAAUUUCUUUUAAUUUUCAAUUUUUUUUAAACAAUUAAUUUUAACUUCUUCUUCUUUUUUUAUUAAAAAUAUAUAUUAUAAAUAAAUAAAAUAUUAUAGUUUUUUUAUAACUUGUGUUAUUGAAAACUAAUUUGUGUUAAAAAUUGGAACAUAAAAAAUUAAAUUAAAUUACUUUUUAAAAUUAGCUAUAUAUAAUCGGGGAAUAGAGGGAGAAGGUAAUGUCUCGAAUCUCAAACCUACUCUUAACCUAUUUAUUUUAAUUUCAAAUUCAUUUCAUUAGGAGCAAAGUAGAGCAGGUACCUUAAAAAAUUUGUUUCAUUAUCAUCCCUUUUCAAUACAUUACUUCAUAAUGAUAUACUAAAAUUAUGUCUUGAAAACAUGAUUUUAAGACAAAGAACUAUAUGACUCUUUUUUUUUUUUUUAAACUUAUCCGAUACAAAAUGACAUAAUUUUAUCAAUAAUUAAACUAUCAAGUUUUUACAAAUGAUUCUUUUAAUUUAUCAAAAAUCAAGGCAAACAGCCAGUUUUGAAAAGGAACUUUUUUUCAAGGGGCUUUGAAAAAAAAUAAAAACAUUUUAAAAAUAUUUAUUAAAAUAUAAUACUUUUGAAACUAUUCGCAAAUCAAUUGCAUUAUUAAGGAAUUGAAUUGAAUUGAAAGUUAUCUUUUGAAUAGAUAAUUUUAAUUAAAUUUUAAAAUUAUUUUAAAAAAUCAUAUUUAAUUUUUUUUCAAAAAUAAUUAUAGACCCACAUUUUUUAAGUGCGUCCCCACUCGAAAGGGCGAGACUCUCUUUUUUUAUUUGUGAAAAAUUGAUUUUUUUUAAAAAAAAUUAAAGUUGCCGCUUAUUUCAAUUUAUUUUUAAAAGGAAAAACAAAAUGAGAAAAAAAAAACUCUAUCAGACUCAUUUUUUGGAAAAAGACAUAUUUGCAAAAACUAAAUCUAAAUUUGAGGGUUACGAUACCUAUUUGGUUUCUAGUAAGCGAAUUGAAGGAAUUAUGAUAAUUAAUUAAUUAAUUAUGGCUUGCAUAUCUACAGUAAGUGAAUUGAGAUAAUUAUGGUAAGUAAUUAAUUAAUCAUAAAUACCAAGAUUAAGAAGACAAAUCAAUGUACAAAAAAAUAAUCAUAAAAGUAAAUUAUAAUAGUAUACAAGGUAAAUGACAAGAUAAUUAAUCAAAUUGAUUUAUUAAUCUAAUUAAAAAAAGAAUAUUUUAAAUUAAAAACAAUUUCAAAUGAAUGGUUUCAAUUUAUUUAUUUAUAAAAAUGUUUCAAUUCAUUUCCAAUAAAUGGUUUAAUUCAAUUUUAUUUGUGUUUAAUUUUUAAAAAAAGUAUCAAAAAAAUUUAUUACAAAAUUUUCAAUUUUGCAAUAAAAAGAUUUUUACUUUUACCAGAAAAAGAAUGAAAUUUUAAAACUUUAUUUGCAAAAGUAUUUCAAUUUGAUUUUAUUUACAAGGGAAUUAAUUUCUUUACAAACUUUAUUUACAAAAAUAUUUUCAACCCAACUUUAUCAAGAAAAAUGAUUUCUACAACUUCAAUUUGCAAAAGACUCUCAUCCUAAUCUCAUAAAAAAAAAUUAUUUAAAAUCUCUAUUUAUAAAAAAUACUUUUAAUCUCAUUCUAAUUCUAAUGAAGGAAACAUAAUUUAUUUAAAAAUCAUUUUUUGGGGACAAUUUUUAUUUAUAAAACAAUUUUUUUAACAAAUUUUAUUAAACAAAUAAAUUUCCAAACAAUAGUUGGUAAAAACAAUUUUUUGAAUUUUAUUAAAAAUAAUUUUCUGGAUUUUCCUAAAAACAUUUUUUUUAAUUUUUAUAAAAAAAAAACUUUCUUUUAUUAAAAAUAAUAUUUUCUAAACUAUUGUUUUUAUUAAAACGUAAUUGCUAACUAUUCCUUUUAUUAAAACAAAAUUUUUAAGUUAUCAACUAUUCAAUUCUGCAUACACUUAUAUACAUAAAAACAUUUACAUAAACUAAUAAAAAUUAAAUUAAAUAGAAAUAAGGAAAUAAAAUAUGUACCUAGACAAGCCUACAACAAGCUCAAUGCCCAAUUUACAACUUUCGUAAACCUCAUUUUCUUCUAUGAAAUUUGGUUCUCCACAUGUCACAAAUCCGUGCAGUCCAUGCAAAACAAAAAUGAGCCCAGAUGUAAAUAUCCAAAAAUAUGCAAAGCCCAAAAUAAUUAUUCAAACUCAAGUUCAAAUUUUAAAUUGGUCCAAUAAAUUUUACCAAUAAAAAUAGAUCUAAAUUAAUUAAUAUGCCCAACAAAAAUAUCUCUCAUAUCAAUAUCCUUAUCCAAUAAUCGCGCAAUUUAGUCAAGCCCGAAAUAUCAUAAAACAAAAUAAAUUUAAUUAAACCUAAAUUUAAUAUCACAUAUUCCAAACUUGAUAUGCGAAUCCAAAUCCAAAAUCCAAUUAUUACUAAAUCCAAAUAAAACAUACAUUAACAAACAAGACCCGACUCAAAAUACAAGGCUUAAAAUAUAUCCAAACUAUCUAAACUUAACCCAAAGCUUAGAAAUAAUAUCCCCAGUAAAUGCAAACCCAAAAAUAAUAUAAAUUCGCUCAAACAAACAAUCUUAAUAAUCAAUAAUAAAUUACUGUAAAAAUUAAAUAAAAAUAAUAAUAAAAAUAAAAUAAAAUAAAAUAAAAAAAUAAACUUACAUAAAUUUGAAGAAAAUGGGGAAAUGUGAGAUGGGUGGAAGGGGGAUUGCCAGCCGGCAGUUACGUCGCCGGGCGGCAGUGGCGUCGACGAUGCUACAGGCGGCGGUGAGAUUGGAUGGUUUUUGGGUGAGGGAAGAAAUGGGUGUGGGGAAGAGGAAAAGAAGAAACAAAAGAAAAAAAAAAAAAAGAGGGAAAAUGAAGAGGGGAAAGGGGUGUGGUCCUGUGGCAGUCUGAGCUGGGGAUGGGGAGAGAGGGUAGGGGAGGAAACUGGAAAGGAAGACAAAAAAAAGUUAAAAAAAAAAAUGAGGUGGAGAAAAAGAAAAUGAAAAGGAAGGAUAGAGGGGUGGGGGUGGGGGUGGAGAGAAAGUUGUAGUGGGAAGAGAGAGGUGAAAAGAAAAAAAUAAAAUAAUAAUAAUAAAAUAAUAAAAAUAGAAACAACUUAAAAAGGUGUGAGUGGAUAAAAAAAUUCAGAUAUAAUUGAUAUUUAAAUUUAAGGAUAAAAUUGAACUCAAAACUAAAUAUAAAAAUAAGUUUUAGACAAAUUUUAAGGUUUAUAAUAAUUUUCAAUUCAUGUUAUAAAAAGUGUGAUAAAUUCAAAAAUUGUUUUAAAAAUGUCAUGCUUUAAUAAAUAGUUUUAAAAAAAAAUUCGGUCAAAUUUGUCCUCAAAGCCUUCUAUCGGGGCUUAUGCCUACAUGGAGCAUGAGAUGACACCCUUCAAACCCAUAUGCGCUUCAUAAAAAUUAAAAUAAAAAGUGAAAAAACAAAACAAAACAAAAAUUGGAAAGCAAAAACAAAAACCCCCGACGGUUUGAAAUAAGAGUCUCUUCAUCCAUUUUUUUUUUUGUUUGAAAUAAGAGUCUCUUCAUCCAUUUUUUUUUUUUUUUCAAAUCAUGUUAUCAAGGAUAAGGUAAUAAAAUUAACAAGCUAUUUAAGUCAUCCAAUAAUAUGUUACAAGAAAGCCCUAUAAGGCUGUUAAAGAAAGUAAAAAUAAAUAAAUAAAUAAAAAUAUUUCCAAAUCUUAUUAUUUGAUUUAUCCCAAGUCAAAAACUACUUUGAAACUUUGAAAACUCAUUAAUUUUAAAUUAUAAAAAAGUUACAUAUUUAAAAAAAAAAAAAAUUCCCAAUGUGAUCCAUAGUAUGCAUAGUCGGUAUGUUAGACUUAAUUAUUUUCAAACAAUAAGUAUUGUUUACGAAAAGCUUAGGUUCUGUUUGUGACUAUUUUCGAAAAUAGUUAUUGAGUAUAUAUUUUUUAAAACCUUUUUAUAAUGUUUUAUACGAUAAAAGUCUAUUUUAAAACUUAAAAUAUUUUUAAUAUAUUUUUAAUAUUUUUAAAUAUAUUUUAAAAAUAAUUUAUAUAUUUGAUGUUUUAUUUUUAAUCAUUUUACAUGUUUAUAUUAUUAUUUUUUGAAAUAGUCUUCAAAAAACAACUAAAAAUAAUUAAAAUGUGUUAUGUGAAAAAUGUUAUAUUACCUUUAACUUGAAUAUUUAAUUUUUUUUUUUAAAUAUUGUAUCAUUUAUAUCUUUUAAUCCCAAUUUUAAUAUUUGAUUUCCACUUUCAUACUUUUUUAAGUAUAAUUUUUAUGUCAACCUAAAAAGUUUUCAUCAUACUGAGCUAUUGGCACUCUCCACUUGCGAUACUUUGAAAUACUACAAUCGUCAAACCGCAUGAGAACUGAAACAAUCGAAGAAGACACCACCACGCUAUGGGAAAGCAGAAACAGCAGGUGAUCUCCCGUUUCUUCGCUCCCAAAUCUAAAGCCCCUUCAUCAUCUUCAUCUUCAAUACCAUCAUCACCAUCUCCAUCUCCAUCUCCAUCUUCGCUCCCAAACCCACCAACCCCUCCACCGAAAAUCUCCACCACUGUCACUUUCUCUCCUUCCAAACGCCUUCCUUCCUCCCACGUGUCCCCCUCCACCAAACCCCCCAAAGCCCCCAAAAUCUCUCACCCCAUUGACCCCUCUCUCCACCAAAAGUUCGUACAGAAGCUUCUUCAGCCUUCUUCCUCAACACCCACAAAGCUCCCACUUCCAACCACCAAGUACACUCCACUGGAGCAACAAGUCGUGGACCUAAAGCAAAAAUACCCAGAUGUUCUAUUGAUGGUAGAAGUUGGGUAUAGGUAUAGAUUCUUUGGUGAGGAUGCUGAGAUUGCAGCUAGGGUGUUGGGCAUUUAUGCUCAUGUUGAUCACAAUUUCUUGACUGCUAGCAUACCAACUUUUCGAUUAAAUGUCCAUGUGAGGAGGCUUGUCAGUGCAGGGUUUAAGGUAGGUGUUGUUAAGCAGACCGAAACUGCAGCCAUUAAGGCGCAUGGUUCGAAUAAACUGGGACCCUUUUGCCGGGGUUUAUCGGCAUUGUACACGAAGGCGACGUUGGAGGCAGCAGAGGACGUGGGAGGUGGGGAAGAGGAAUGUGGGUCUUAUAAUAAUUACUUGGUUUGUGUAGUUGAGAAAGGGAUUAGUGUAGAAAAUAGUAAAGAUUGUGGUGUUGGGGGUGGGUUUGAUGUGAGAAUUGGGAUUGUUGCAGUUGAAGUAUCAACGGGGGAUGUUGUUCAUGGGAAGUUCAAUGAUAAUUUUAUGAGGGCUGGGCUUGAGGCUGUGAUUUUGAGCAUGUCUCCUGCUGAAUUGCUUCUUGGAUACCCGCUCUCUAAACAAACAGAGAAGGUAGAUUUUAGUUACAGUGUCAUUUGGUGUCUUAGCAGAAGUGGGAGAUAUUUACUUUUUCAUAUGCGUUUAUCGUGUCGUUCCUUUUGUGUUUUUAUCUAUAUAAGACUUCUAUGUAAUUCCAUUGAACUCCAUUAUUGGUCAUUUCUAUUUAUAGAAAUCAAAUUAUUAUUCCUUCAAGGCUCCCUUCUAUAUAGCACAUUGAACUCCAUGAUUAAUUAUUUGUAUAAAUGGAAAUCUACUUUGGUUCUACUUCAAAAGGGUGCAGGACCAUCAUUGUUUCAUCUGGAUGUUCUUAAAGGUUUGAUCUUUUUCUUAAAGGCAAAUAAAUAAAACUAUUGGCAAGCAUUCUUAGUUAUUCAACUUAUUCCUUAUAAUGAAAAAAAAAGGGAAGAGUUCAUAAUUUUGAAAUCCAAACCAGACUUAUUCAAAUUAAUUAUGCUAGAACUGCAGUGCGGAUUCAAUUUAAUUGUUAUUAAACAUAAGUGGUAAUGGGGAAUCCAUUUGCUUUUAUUGAAAUAAUUUCGAAAAUGUAAUUCUUUCAUAUACAAUGUUCUCUUUAACUGUUUCAUCCUUGGAAUAGAACUUAUCAACUGAUAUUUAGCGUGUGAUAUGGAAUACUGGCUUUUAAAUUUAGUCUGGUUAUUAACUUGAAAGAUGCUGGUUAUUUACAGAUGGCUUAUUCAACAGCUUUCUGUAGGCAUCUUGUUCAUAAUGUCAAAAUAGAUGAUUUCAAUAAGAUACAGAUAAAUAUAAGGAAAAUUUGAAACUUAUAUUUGAAUCAUAUUACACAAAAGAGAAAGUUAGAAUGGAUUUAUAUGUGUCAUUUUCUAAUUUCUACGUUCAGUACGGUACAAUAUCAAGACACUUCUUGCCAGUCUAAUUCUCAGUUACACUGAUGGGUUCUCUUUUGUCUAAAUCUCUCACAAGGAAAACCGGGAUCAAGCAAAAAUCCUUGUUCAGUCUUGUCAGUUUUAUUGAUCUAGGCUUUCCUUUACCCUAGAGAAUCUAUUUCCACAUAAUUUUUGCGCUCUAACUUGGACACUAGUUCUAAUAGAAUUUUUUGUGAUUCAUAUCUGUGUUGGGUCUGAACAUACAUAAUAAAUAGUUAUAAUGCCCCUUAUCUUGUUUGAGCAAAAGCCUAGAGAAUCCCCCUUCUCCAUAUCUAGUUAUGAGUACAUAUCUAUAGAGGGUUUUUUUUUUAGGUCAAUGGUUAGGCAUUAGAAUCGUCAGGUUGUGGUAAUUAUUGGGUUUAUCUUAUUGUUGGAGGGUGGGGAAUAGGAAAUUUGCUUUUCUGAACAGUUUUUGUUUGAGUGAUGGGUUUGCUAAGAAAUUGUGGUAAGGAAAUUAUGACUUAAUGAGAGUGCAAACAGUAGGACUUUCUUUUGGGGUUUUAAGCUUUUGUCCUGUUACGUUACUUCCUAGAAUGCCUCUUGUUCAAUCCACUGAGAAGGCAACUUUUACUUGUAGCAGACAUUGUCCAACAGCAAGUGAAGGAAAAGUUCUAUAGCUUUUGUAAUCAAGUUUUAGACAUAUACUAUGUACAAAAUUAAGCCAUACCUAAUUUUGGUCCCUGUCAGUGUCUCCUUAUAACAUUUCAGCACCACCACCCAUAGACCUUGCUCUACUUGAGUGACCAUACAACUCGCUUAACCAGUACAUCUUCUGGUAUAAGACAACCAAAACAUCAUUACUUGGAUUUCAGAGGUGUACUUUAGAAAUACCUUUGAUCUACCCUUUGCUUUUUCUUAUUAUUUAUUGUAUUUGGUGCAUUCCAUCUUUGCUUUAUUAUCUGUUUGGAAACCCUCUUCGAUAAUAAUGGUGGUGAUGUCCUUUAUGCCAUUUAGAAACAAAAAUAUUAUUUAAAAUCAUUUCUUCAUGCUCACGUCCUAUAAAAUGAUUGCAUCCAAUUUUGAUAUUGGGCUACUUAAAUUUGCAUUGAUGACUAUAUGAUGGUUUAUUACUAGUUGCUAUUAGCCUAUGCUGGACCUGCAUCAAAUGUUCGUCUGGAGCGUACCUCAAGAGAUUGCUUCAGUGAUGGUGGAGCACUUGCUGAAGUUAUGUCUUUAUAUGAGAACUUAAGUGAAGAUAGUAGAGUUGAUCAUCAAGUGGACAACACAGAAGUGAUGGAACAGGAAAAUCAUUGCCUGGCAAUUGAGGUCUUAGUGUUUGUUGACUUUCUCGUGUCAGGAACGAAACAGUAUGAAUUGCUGCUUCUUUGGACAUAUAUUUUCAUUUUAGCCACCAACCACCUCUUAUGUGAAAUUUGUGAGUGCUCAUUAUGGUUCUGGUAUAGCCUUGGUUUCAUGAAUUGCUUAAUCAUCGGGUGGUCAAUGUGGGGGCCUUCCCCGAUAACAACUUUCUCUGGUCAUUGUUGGUUUGUGAUUUUUGUGGACGAUUGCAACCGCAUGACACUUCUCUACCAAAUGAAGACCAAAGCCGAAGUUUUCAUGAUUUUUCAAGCAUUUCAUGCCAUGGUCUAGACACAAUUCUUAGCCAAGAUUCAAAUCCUUUGUUUGGACAAUGGCGGAUAAUUUAUCAAUCAUGAAUUUCAAACUUAUUUCCAACAUUAUGGCCUCAUCCAUGAGACAUCGUGCUCUUAGAUACCAUAACAAAAUGGCGUCAUCAAGAGAAAAAAUCGACAUAUCUUAAAAACAGCUCGUGUUUUACUGCUUGGAAAGCUUAUGUGCCUAGUCGCCAUUGGGGGGAUACGGUGACUACUGUUGUGUAUUUACUGAACUGUGUGCCUUCCAAGGUCUUAGAUUUCAAGACUCCCCUACAGGUUCUUACUACUCAUGUUUCUCUACCUACUAUGUUGAUGCUUCCUCCUCACAUUUUUGGGUGUGUUGCCUUUGUCCAUCUCCACAAAAAUCAACAUAUUAAACUGGACCCAUGUGCAAUUAGGUGCUUGUUCUUGGGCUAUGGGUUACAUAAAAAAGGCUAUCAGUGCCACGAUCCCCUUGCCAACUGUACCUAUAUAACCAUGGAUGUUACAUUCCUUGAAUCUAAAAUAUUUUAUCCAUCAUUGGUACCCAAUUCUCCUCUUCAAGGAGGGACUCAAGUUGAAGAGCUGAAUUGGAUGAUGGCUUCAAGAGGUGAGAUGGCUUCAAGACUUGAGACUGAAAAUGGAGAAAUUGAAUCUCAAAUGGAUAAUGCGUAUUCAGUAGGUGUAGAACUUAGAAAUGAAGGAAAUGAAACACCUAAAAAUGGAGAGGCUGAAAAUGAAGAACUCGUAAAUGAUGAACCUAAAACUACGAAACCUCCUCACUUCCAAGUGCCCGAAGACUCUCCUCCUAGGAAUAUUUCAGAGGUAAGCACUCCCACCACAUCUUUACAAACUAAUGUUUUGGAGACACCUGUAGGUUAUGCUUUGCCUUUCAGACAUAACCGUGGCAAACCACCAAAUAGAUACUCUCCUGACGAGGAAGAAAGAAGGUCCAAGUACCCAAUUACAAAUUAUGUGUCCACUUAAAACCUAUCAAAACCUCUCAUGACAUUUACUUAGACGUUGUCCUACUGCCAUAUUCCUAGGAGUGUUGAAGAGGCCUUACUCAAUCCAAAAUGGACAGAAGCUGUAUAGGAAGAACUAGAAGCUUUAAAGAAGAACAAUACUUGGAAGUUAGUCUCACUGUUAGAAAUGGAAGAAAAUAGUGGGGUGCAAAUGGGUGUUCUCUAUAAAAUAUAAAGCUGAUGGAUCCGUCGACCGAUACAAGGCCAGACUUAUGGCGAAAGGAUUUACACAAACGUAUGAUAUAGAUCAUUUGGAAACUUUCUCACUAGUGGCCAAACUAAAUACUGUUAGAGUUCUAUUGUUUCUUGCAGCAAAUUUAGACUAGUCACUACACUAGCUCAAUGUAAAGAACGCCUUUCUCCAUGGCGACCUUGAAGAGGAAGUAUACAUGGACAUUCCUCCUGGAUAUGCAACAUCUUCUGAGACCAAGAUUGUUUGCAAAUUGGAACGAGUGUUAUGGGUUGAAACAGUCACCUCGGGCGUGGUUUGGCAAAUUUAGUUCUACUAUGCAAAAGUAUGGUUAUCAUCAAAGCAAUUCUGACCAUACUCUCUUCCUAAAACACCGACAAGGCAAGGUGACAACUCUAAUAGUCUAUGUAGAUGACAUGAUUAUCACAAGGGAUGAUGUAGAAGAGAUCUCGAGGCUGCAAGAACACUUGGCUACUGAAUUUGAAAUGAAGAACUUGGGGGCUAAAGUAUUUUUUGGGAAUAGAGGUGGCAAGAUCACAAAAAGACAUAUUCCUAUCUCAAAGGAAAUAUGUAUUGGAUCUACUAUUAGAGGUGGGACUAUUGGAGUGCAAAUCGGUGGAUACUCCAAUUGCUCAGAAUCAUAGGCUUGGGGAAUACUUAGAUCAAGUGCCAGCUGAUAAAGGGAGGUACCAAAGAUUAGUGGGUAAGCUCAUCUACUUAUCUCACACUUGCUUACGUCAUAAGUGUAGUGAGCCAAUUCAUGCAUUGUCCUAGUGAAGACCAUAUGAGUGCAGUAGCUCAAAUCCUUCACUAUUUAAAGUCCUCACCAGGGAAAAGGUUGAUGUUCUCCAAGAAUAAUCAUCUGAAUAUUGAAGGGUACAUGGAUACGGAUUGGGCAAGGAAUAUCUUGGACAUGAAAUCUACUUUGGGUUAUUUUACAUUUGUGAGUGGCAAUUUAGUUACAUGGAGAAGCAAGAAGCAAAAGGUAGUGGCACUGUCCAGCGUAGAGGCUAAGUUCCGAGGCAUGGCAAAAGGACUCUGUGAGCUCCUUUGGCUUUGACGGUUACUAACAUAGGUUGGUUUUGCCCCUAGUUUUGCAAUGAAUUUGUUAUAUGAUAACAAAGCUGCCAUUGACAUAGCCCACAAUCUAGUUCAACACGAUCAUACCAAGCACAUAGAGUUGGACUGACAUUUCAUCAAACAGAAUCUUGAGGAUAAGAUUAUUCAGUUUCCAUUUGUCAAAUCGAAAGAUCAGUUGGCAGACAUACUUACAAAGGCAAUUUCUAGAAAAAACUUCUGUAACUCCCUUGACAAGUUGGGUGUUAGAGAUAUCAACGCACCAACUUGAGGGGAAGUGUUAGCAUGGGUCUUAGAUCAGCAGGUUUAUAGAAACACUAGCCAUAGACCUUGUAUAGGCAAAGAAUAGCUUCCUAAAAUCCCGUUCUUGUAUUUAUAUAUCUUGUACACAUUCAAUGGAAAAAAUAUACAAGAAAUGAAUAUUGUGUGACAAAUUGAAAACUAUGAAAAAAUAUGAUUCAAAAGAAAAUGGAAAGGAAAAAUAAAAGAAAAAUAAUGAAAAAAAAGUAAAUUCAAAUUCAAUAAAUUAUUUUUAUAUAUUAGUUUAAAGAAUCAAACUCAUUUCACUUAUUUUAACUUUAAUAUAUAAAGAUUAAAUAAUUUUAAAAUAGAUAUUUUAAAAAAAAAUUAAUUAUAUUUAUUUUUUAUAGGACAACCAAAUAUAAAAAAAAUUGUUUUUUUAAUUAUUUUUUCUUUUGAUGACUCUUUCUAAACCAAAAGCCAAAUUCCAUUACUUUGUUUUUAUAAAGUGAUGAACAUUUGAAUUGCAAAUGAGGGAGAACUACCAUAAAAGUAGUAAUGCUCAUUUUUGAAUUCUCCUCUAUAAAGUUUCAUACUAAAAUAUGUCACCUGCAUGUAGUGAUUAAAAUAUCGCGAUAUUUUGACAAUAUAUUGUCGAAAUAUCGAGCUUCAAUGGACCUUGACACGAUAUAUAGGAGAUAAAUAUCACUACCUUGUUAUUUUAGUAAAUUAUCAAUAUUUUUGUCAAAUUUUCGGUAUUUAUCGGCAUUUUACUGAUUUUUCGCCUAUAUUUCACAAUAUUUUGGGACAAUCAACACAGUCAAACCCCAACCAAAAGGUUCUUCAUCCAUUGCGCUAAUCACUGCGGCAAGUUUGCCCCUUGUUAUAUAAGUUGCAGCAAAUAUAUAUAUAUAUACUCAAAUUCAUCAUAUAAACAUAAUAUUAAAAAAAAUGUUUUAAAGAACAAAUUAAUUAUAAUUAUUUUAUAAUUAAAUGAAAUUUUUUCAUUUAUUUGAAUAUCAAAAAUAUAAAAAUUAUUAUGAUAAUUUUCUUCAUAAUGUUUUUAAUAUCAUUAAAAUAUUAAAAAUUAUAUACAUAUAUAUAUAUAUAUCAUCAUUUAUUUUAUGUCAUUUAAUAUGAUUGCAUUAAAUGAAUUAUAAUUUUAAUAUUAAAUAUAUUUUUAAAUUAGACAUAUUAUAAUCAAAUAUCACAAUAUUGUUAUCAAAUAAUAUUUGAUAUAAUUUAAUAAUAAAUGUAUAGUUAUGAAAUUCAUAUUUUUUUUAUCAAUGCAUAUAAUAUUAUUAUCAAAUAUGAUAAAUUAUAACGUGUGUAUAUAUAUAUAUAUAUAAAUUUAUUGAACAAAAUAAAUUUAAAAUAUCUAUUAUACUUCUAAUUUUAUUUUUAAGAGUUUUUUUUCUUAUAUUUUUUAUAAUUUUAGAUCAAUUUUAGGUUCAUCAAUAUUUUUUUAUCAACGUAUAUAAUAUUAUUAUCAAAUAUGAUAAAUUAUAAUGUGUGUGUGUGUAUAUAUAUAUAUAUAUAUAUAUAUAUAUAUAUAUAUAUAUAUAUAUAUAUAUAUAUAUAUAUAUAUAUAAAUAAAUUUAUUGAACAAAAUAACUUUAAAAUAUCUAUCAUACUUCUAAUUUUAUUUUUAAGAGUUUUUUUUAUUAUAUUUUUAUAAUUUUAGAUUAAUUUUAGGUUCAUCAAUAUUUUGCAUUAAAAUAUCCGGACAUACUUACUGAUAUUUUCAUCUUUACCUACAUGAUGGUCUUUAAUUUCUCAAUAUUUAUAUGCCCUUCUAGACCUUCUUUCUUGUCCCCCAUAUGUUUUUUCUUGGCAAAAAUCACAAAUUCCUUGCAUAUGAAGUCACCAAGAGCAGAAAAAACUAGAGAUCAAAAGUUCCUUAAAAUGAAUCUCUCUAGUUUUGUUCACGUUGAUGACAUUUUUUGUAGAGGUUAGAAGGCAUCGAAUUAAGCAUAUUUAUUAUUCUUUCUUUAUAUACUUCAUAAUAUAUUCUUGUCCGGACCUGAUAAUUGCCUUCCAAGGUAGAUUGGAAACAUCAAUUUAGUUGUCUCCCCUUUUUAGUUCAAACUUGGAUACGACUUCACCUUCUUCGAAUGUUCCUCGGAUAAAACAAAAUCAUUUGAUUUUCAGCCCAUACCUUGCCUUAACCCGCUCUUUAACCUAUUUAUUUUAAUUUCAAACUCAUCUCAUUAAGGAUAAGAUAGAGUGAACCUAAAAAAUUUGUUUCAUUAUCAUCCCUAUUCAAGACAUUACUUCAUAAUGAUAUAUUAAAAUUAUGUCUUGAAAACAUGAUUUUAAGACAAAGAACUAUAUGAAUUUUUAUUUUUAUUUAUUUUUAUUAUUUUUUUUUUUUUUUAAGCUUAUGUGACACAAAAUGUCAUAAUUUUAUCAAUAAUUAAACUAUCACUUUUUUACGCAUGAUUCUUUUAAUUUACCAUAAAGUUAUCAAAAAUCAAGGCAAACAACCACUUUUGAAAAGGAAUAUCUUUUGAGGGGCUUUGAAAAAGAAAAUAAAAACAUUUUUAAAAUACUUAUUAAAAUAUAAAUCUUUUGAAACUAUUCGCAAAUCUAUUGCAUUAUUAAGGAAUUCAAGUUAUCUUUCAAUGGAUAAUUUUAAUUAAAUUUUUAAAAAAUCAUAUUUAAAAUUUUUUUUCAAAAGAUAAUUAUGGACUCACAUUUUUCAAAUGCGAGACACUUGAAAUGGGGGGACUUUUUUUUUUUUUUUUAAUGAAAAAUUGUUUUUUUUUAUUUUAUAAAAUUGGAGUCGUCACUUAUUUUAAUUUAUUUUUAAAAAGGAAAACAAAAUAAAAAAAAAAACUCUACGUGACUCAUUUUUUUUGGAAAAAGACAUGUUUGUAAAAACCCAAUCUAGAUUCGAGGAUCAGAUUACUUAUCAUAAAAAUACGAUUAACAGUUGUAACACUCCUCUAAACCCAUAUACCUACGAUCUCUACUAAGCGAAUAGAGGGAAUUAUGGUAAUUAAUGAAUCAAUCAUGGAUACCAAAAUUAAGAACACAAAUAAAAAAAAUAAUCAUAAAAGUAUAUUACAACAUUAUACAAGGUAAAUGACAAGAGAAUUAAGCAAAUUGAUUUAUUAAUCUGAUUAAAAUAAAUAUUUUAAAUUAAAAACAAUUUCAAAUGAAUUAUUUCAAUUUAUUUAUUUAUAGAAAUGUUUCAAUUCAUUUCCAAUAAGUGAUUUGAUUCAAUUUUAUUUGUGUUCAAUUUUCAAUAAAGUAUCAAAAGAAUUUAUUACAAAAAUUUCAAUUCGACAAUAAAAAGAUUUUUACUUUUACCAGAAAAAAAAAUGAAAUUUUAAAACUUUAUUUGCAAAUGUAUUUCAAUUUGAUUUUAAUUACAAAUGAAUUAAUUUCUUUACAAACUUUAUUUACAAAAAUAUCUUCAACCCAACUUUAUUAAGAAAAAUGAUUUCUAUAACUUCAAUUUGCCAAAAUACUCUCAUCCUAAUCUCAUAAAAAAAUUAUUUAAAACCUCUAUUUAUAAAAAAAAUAAUUUUAAUCUCAUUCUAAUUCUAAUUAAGGAAACAUAAUUUAUUUAAAAAUCACUUUUUGGGACAAUUUUUUGGACAAACUUUAUUAAACAAAUAAAUUUCCGAACAAUAGUUGUUAAAAACAAUUUUUUUGAAUUUUAUUAAAAACAAAUUUCUGAAUUUUUUUAUUAAAAAAAUAUUUUUUGAACUAUUGUUUUUAUUAAAAUGUAAUUCCUGAACUAUUCAUUUUAUUAAAACAAAAUUUUUGAGUUAAAAACCGUUCAAUUCUGUAUACACCCAUCAAAUAUAUAAAAAAAAAUAUUUAUGAACUAAUAGAAAUGAAUGUAAACAGAAAUAAAAUAUGUACUCAAACAUUUACAACGAGAUCGUACUCGGUGACCACCCCAUCGUAGUCGCCGGAGCCGAGUACUCGGCCGGAGGAGCCCGGUUUCCACCUUAGGCUACUGAGCUUAGCCGGGGUCCAUAUAUAGUAGUCACAUGCAUUAUUGUGUUGUAACAAUUUAACGUUGUGCUCACCAUGGCUAUGAUUCUCGCCGGGCAACAAGGAUUUUACACUAUAAACUCUAAUUUUCCUAGCAAUUCCUCCAGUGGCCACGAGGCUAUCAGAGGGGUCGAACUCUAUGACGCCGAUGGUGUCGGUGCUGGCUCCGACGGAGCUCGAGGUAACAACAGUGGAGAGAUUGAAUUCCCAGUCGCACCUAGCUCUUUCUUCUUCUAUGUGUUGUUCUGCCUUUUCUUCUUGUAUGUUUGGGUUUUCUACUUCUGGGCUUUGAGGAUUGAAUUGCGUUGAGAAGUUUUUCAUUUCCCAUUCAUAAGUGACGAUAGUGGUGGAAUCUCUUGUCUUUCCGACCAAUGAAAGACUCCCAUUCAACCUUAUCUUGCCCGGAUAAUGGAAAACAAUUCAACUUUAUUCCUUUUUCAGUUUUUCAAAAUUUAUAUCCAUUCCUCUUUCAUUUAACAACCCUCAAUAUUACACCUAAUUACAAUAAUGCCAUUUUCCCAGGUAGGUUCUACCCCUGCAAACCCCUAAAAUUCAUGCAUGGAGUAGGGAUUGUGGGUGCAAUCUCAUGCUGCCAAGAUGGGCAUUUUGGGUAUUUUGUAACAAACCCUAUAAAUAGAAAGGGUUAUAAACUAUUAGAGAUGGGGAAUAAAUGAAAAAAAAAAUGAUAUAUCAAGUGGAUGAGAGGCAAAGGAAAUGGUGGAUGGUUUUGUGCCUCAAUUCCAGAACUGGAUGCUGUGGACACAGGCUCCUUUAAGACUCUGCGUUACGUGGUCCAAGGCAAGCCUUUUGUCUAGUCACUUAUUCAUCUAGAUAUGAUAUAAUAUAUGAUAAAAGGGCCCCAAUGCCCCCACACCAACUGCUACUCCAUUAAAGGGUAAAGGCUCAAGUGAAGUAAAUGCAAAUUUGUGGAUUUUUAUCAGCCAGCCAUGGGCCCAUGCAUAGCCAAAGGACAAAGGGUGGUUUCCUUUCUCUCUCACCUUGGCUUUUCGGUUUGCAGAUUUCAGAUUUUUUUUUGCUUUUGGGUAGGGUGUGGGUCCGUGGAUUCUCAUGAGUGACACAUGGCAGUGGAAGGGAUUUUGAUUAUUGAUUCAGACAUAAAUGCAGACAAAUCUUGGUUUCCAUGCUAACACGGUAUCCUCAGUUUCUACGCAAAAUUUGCAUCAAGGAUUUUUGUGUCGAUUAAUUAAUUUUGUUCAUUUUCCGAUCCCUUGGGAGUGUUGUCGUCCGUCCUGGUUGCUGUACAUGUCACAGGAUUAAUUCAGAACAUGCCUUGGGCCAUGUGGCCCAAGUUGCCGCCACAUAUGCCCGCUUUUCGAAAAUAAAAAAAUACAGUAAUUUUAAAAAGUAUUUAUUAAAGAAUGACAUGGGUGAAAUUAUUUUCGAAUUUAUGAUAUUUUUUAUAAUAAUAAUUAAAAGUUUCUUUUUUUGAAAAAAAACUACAAUUUUAAAAAUAUGUAACAUUUAAUAAAUAUUUUUUCAAACUUUAAUUUUUUAUUUUUUAUUUUCAAAAUCCCCACAUAUAAUAAAAUAAUUUUUAUUUUACACUCUAUUUGAUUCUUGAAAAUACUAAAAAAAGAAAGAAAAAAAUUAAGAAAAGUGAUUUUUUUACAUUUAAUUGUACUAUAAAAAAAAUCAUAAAAAACAAAUAUAACUAAAAUGAGAUAGAAAUUUAUGUUUUUUUUUUAUGAAAAAUUAAAAUAAAUAAAAUGAGUUUGAAAUAAUAUAUAAAAAAUAAUUUAUUGAUUUUAAAUUUUUAUUAUUAUUUAUUUUUUUUUUUUUCAUUUCAUUACAUUUUUCCCCAAAUUUUUUUAAAAUCGAACAUAGUCUUAAAGUCAAUUUGGCUAAGUUUACAAUAAUUUUUUUCAUCAAUAUAGCAUGUAAACAUCUACGGUCAUUAUAGGCUUCUCAUUUGAAAAGCUGAAAUCUUGAUUCUAACCAUGUUUAUAGAGGUCAAAUUGGCAACCUAGAAAUUAAGUUUUAAGUUUUCUAUAGAUUGAAAAGUUAAAAAGUUAAAAUCAUGACUUUUAAGAUUAUGUUUGGUUUCUAGAAAAUUUAUGAAAAAAAUUAUUCAAAAGAAAAUGGAAAGAAAAAAAAUAAUUAAUGAAAAAAAAUGUAAAUUCAAAAUUAAUAAAUUAUUUUUAUAUAUUACUUUAAAGAAUCAAACUCAUUUAACUUAUUUUAACUUUAAUAUAUAAAGAUUAAAUAAUUUUAAAAUAAAUAAAUUUAAAAAAAAAAUUAAUUAUAUUUAUUUUUUUAUAGGACAAUCAAAUAUAUAAAAAUUGUUUUUUUUUUAAUAUUUUUUUCUUUUGAUGAUACUCUUUUUGAACCAAAAGCCGAAUUCCAUUACUUAGUUGUAUUUAUAAAGUGAUGAACAUUUGAAUUGCAAAUGAGGGAAAACUACUAGUAAUGCUCUUUUUUGAAUUCUCCCCUAUAAAGUUUCAUACUAAAAUAUGUCACAAACAUGUAAUGAUUAAAAUAUCACGAUAUUUCGACAAUAUAUCAUUGAAAUAUCAAAUUUCAAUGGAGUUUAACACGAUAUAUAAAGAAAAAUAUGAAUACCUUGUUAUUUUAGUAAAUUAUCAGUAUUUUCGUCGAUUUUUCGCUAUAUGUUGGGACGAUCAACGCAAUCAAACCCCAAUCAAAAGGUUCUUCAUGCAUUACACUAAUUGGUGGGGUAAGUUUGCCCCAUAUUAUAUAAGUUGCAGCAAAUAUAUACAUAUGCUCAAAUUCAUCAUAUAAACAUAAUAUUAAAAAAAAAAUUAUGGAAAAAAUUAAUUAUGGCUAUUUUAUAAUUAAAUGAAAAUUUUUCAUUUAUUUGAAUACCAAAAAUAUAAAAAAUUAUGGUGAUAAUUUUCUUCAUAAUGUUUUUAAUAUCAUUAAUAUAUUAAUUAAAUAUUAAAAAUUAUAUAUAUAUAUCAUUUAUUUUAUAUCAUUUAAUACAAUUGAAUUAAAUGAAUUAUAAUUUUAAUAUUAAAUAUAUUUUUAAAUUAGAUUUAUUAUAAUCAAAUAUCACAAUAUUGUUAUCAAAUAAUAUUUGAUAUAAUUUAAUAAUAAAUGUAUAGUUAUGAAAUUCAUAUUUUUUUUAUCAACGCAUACAAUAUUAUUAUCAAAUAUGAUAAAUUAAUAUAUAUAUAUAUCAAUUUUUGAACAAAACAACUUAAAAAUAUCUAUUAUACUUCUAAUUUUAUUUUUAAGAGUUUUUUCUUACAUUUUUAUAAUUUUUCGAUCAAUUUUAGAUUUACCGAUAUUUUGUGUUAAAAUAUCUGUCGAUAUAUGUUUGAUAUAUCCAAUAUAUUAAUGGAAGUACCCAUAAUUACUGAUAUUUUCAUCUUUAUCGACACGAUGGUCUUUAAUUUCUCAAUAUUUGUAUGCCCUUUUGGACUUUCUUUCUUGUCCCCCAUAAGUUUUUCCUUGGCAAAAAUCACAAAUUCCCUGCAUAUGAAGUCACCAAGAGCAGAAAAAACUAGAGAUCAACAUGACAUUUUUUUGUAGAGGUUGGAAGGCAUCGAAUUAAGCAUAUUUAUUAUUCUUUUCUUUAUAUAAUUCAUAAUAUAUUCUUGUCCGGGACCCUGAUAAUUGCCUUCCAAGGUAGCUUGGAAACAUCAAUUUAGCUGCCUCCCCUUUUCAGUGCAAACUUGAAUACGACUUCACCUUCUUCAAAUGUUCCUCGGAUAAAACAAAAUCAUACGAUUUUCAGCCCAUCCCUUGCCUUUCUAUCCUUGGAAACCCAGUUUAUGCUGCUUUUAUUCAAUCUCUAGUGUCCAAUUUUCUUGACCUAUCCUCAUGUCGCAGGCUUUACAAAGUUUCGAUGCCACAAUGAAAAUCAUUUUUCUCUCAAGUGGUCGCUAUCAAUAUGUGGAAGCUGCCAAGCUGAAGGAAAAACAUAUAUAUGUAGACUGAAGAAGGGUAAUAGCAAGGAACCAGGAACCGAAUUUAUUGCCCGGCCACAAGGCCCAAAUGGGGGUAUUUUGUGUGUGGGCUCCAUUUGUCCGCCCAUGAGGCCCAAGUGGGGCAUCUUUCCUUGUUGAUUGGACGGCAUGGUCGUUGGAACCAAUUUAUUGGCCCAAUAUAUGAGCACAAGCACCACCGAGAGGGGCGGUGCAUGGGUAGAAUUUUAGGGGGGAAAAGAAAUUAAAAAAAUAUGAUGUUUUUUAGUUGUUUUUAUUUAUUUAUUUUAUUUUUUUAAAUAAUUAUAAAAAUACAAAGAAGAAGAAUUAAAAAUAAAGCAUUGUAUGUAAAAGUUAUUUUUAAAUAUAAAAAACAUGUUAAAAAUAUUUUAGAUUCUCACACAAGUAUUUUUAUUUUUUAACAAAAUAUCAAACAAUGAUUUUUAAAAAUUGUUUUCAAAAAAUAUUUUUUUUAAAUUAUUUUCGAAAAUAAUUAUCAAAUACGCUUAAGUUUUCUUUAUUUAUGAAAUAUGGUUUUAAAUAUGCAAAUACUCCAUUUUGGAAUGAAACAUGAGCUGAUAAAUUCUACUGAUUUAAGUUUAUAGCUUAUGGGAGGGAAAGUAAAAUAUUGGAUGGAAUUUAUGUUUUAUUGGGAUAUUGAAAAUAUGUAGGCUAAAAAAAAGUAUUAAUUUUUAUUUGAUUAAUAUUGAUAAAAUAAUCUCUAAAUCUAAAAAAAUAACCUUCAUAUUUUAAAUAGAAACUAGAGAUAUGAUUUUUUCUAACAAAGAUACGCCUUUCCAUUUUCUUAAACACAUCCCAUAUCAAACCACUAUUGGGAAAAAAUUACAAGAAGUAUUUAUAUCCAAUAGAAGUUAUAUUGAAUUAUUAUUUACAUGAGAAAUAUUUUUUAAGGUAAUUAUUAUUUUGUUCCUUAGCCCAAAUAUUUCUAUUUGUUAUGAGAUCAUAAUUCAAAUUAAUACUUGGUGAAAAUAAUUUUAUAGAAUUAAUGAACUAGCAUACUAAAAGACUUUGGAAUGGAAUUGGAGACCUAAACUUCUUGAAUAAUUUCUUUUGCUAAGCACACUUGAGUUUUUAGCCUUUAUUGCUUUUAUGUUGACCUAUCAAAUCAACUCUUACAAUGUUUAACAGAUCAUCUAAUUCUUAAUAACUUUUCUAACUUCUUAAGAUGCUUCAACUAAUAUUAGUUAGGAUACUUGAAUCUUCAAUUAUCUUCUUACUGUUUAUCAUUCCCCCAAGCUCAUAGGUCUUGGAACAAUGUCGAGCUUCAUUCUAAAACUGAAAAACUAAGAGUUUGGUGAAGAUAUUGAUAACUUGAUUAGAAGACAGAAUGUAGUGAAUGAUGAGAUCUUUGUCCAAGAUGUUAUCCUGAAUGAAGUGAAGGUUAAGCUCAAUAUGUUUCGAAUGAGCAUGAGAAAUUGAGUUGGUAACUAAAUGAGCUGCACUCUGAUUAUCACACCAAACUAGGAGAGAAGCAGAUUGAGAAAUACAAAGUUCUUUCAGAAUGGAUUGGACCAGAUGAUCUUAGCUGUAAUAGAGGCUAAGCCAUAGUAUUCAAAUUCGACGCUAUUUCGAGAGACGACUUGCUGUUUGAUAGAUGACCAAGAGAUUAAAUUUGGACCAAGGAAGAUACAAUACCUAUUGGUACUCUUGUGAUCAUCUAGGUAGGAGUCUCAAUCAGCAUUGAUAUAUCUUUGAAUAUCCAACGGGGGAGAUUAUUGUAUUUGUAAGCCAUGAAAUGAGGAGUAUUCUUUUCAUUGCAAACCAAUGAAUUGGUGGGUUGGACAUGAACUGGCAAGCCUUGUUAACAGGAAAGGUGAUAUUAGGUCGUGUGAUGGUUAUGUAUUAGAGAAUACCAAUAGUGUUGCAACACAAGGUUUUAUCCAUGAGUAUUUUGUCAUCAUGUUGAGAUAAGGUUUAGCCUUUAGGUGUGUAGGUAGGCUUGGAGUCUAGUAUUUUGGUGCAAGUCAUGAUGUGUUGGAUGUAUUUGUGUCAAUUGAGAUGUGAUGUAGUGUCAACAUGAAGAACCUCCAUACCAAGAAAGUAAUUCAGAUGUCCAAGAUCACCAAGUGCAAAAUAGGAAUUGAGAUAGGAUAUAAAUGAGAAAACUUGAGAGGAAUUGUUGUCGAUUACUAAUAUAUUAUCAACAUAAAUCAGGAGAAUCAAAGCAUCAUUAGGAAGAUCCAACCCAACCCUUUUCUCGUCAUUGAGAAUGCUACCUUAAACUUUCAAAAUAUUUAGGAUUAUAUGAUUGACUCCUAUCUUCAAAUCGAAGGACGGAAUGUCCCACGAAUGGUUGAAAAAUGGAUUUAAUGAAAUCAUAUGAUUAAUGGAAUAUUCAAAUUAAAUUUUGAUGGUUCAAGGAUGGAGAAUAAAAGUACUUUAGGAUGGGUUAUUAGAGACUCUAAUGGAACUAUAAAAAUAGUUGCAAGUAGGCAUAUAGGUAAUCCUUCAAUAGUUAUUGUAGAAUGUAUGACUUUAAGAGAUGACAUAUUAGUUGCCAAAAACAAUGAAUUUUUAAACCGAGAUUGAAGAUAACUAAAAAAUAGUUAUAGAUUAUUAUAAUAAAAAGAGUAAUAUUCCUAAUUCUAUUAUAUUAUUAAUUGAGGAUAUUUGAAUAUUAUCUUAAGACCUAAAUAUUUACCAUUAUCAUCAUAUUUAUAGGGAAGCAAAUAGAAUAACAAAUUGUUUAACUAAGAAGGCAUUUGUAAUUUAAAAUCAAUCAUUCGGUGGUUAAAUUUUCCUAAAGAUGUUACAAAGUUUAGUUUUGAAGAUUAUUGUGACUCGUCUUUCAAUCAAAUUUGUAGGUAUUUUGCUUUGUAGUCUCAUUAUUAUUAUUAUUAUUAUUAUUUUAAAAAACAUGAUGAAUAGAUAUGGAAUUGUUAGCCCUAGAUGAUUGGAAACCCCACUCGAGAAAGGUGUUGCUAAGUUUAGUAAACCAUGCAUGUGGGACCUGUUUAAGGCCAUAUAAUGUUUGUUUAGUUUGCAAACAUGAGAAGAAAAUUGUUUAUUAACAAACCUAAGAGGUUGGCUCAUAAACACUUGUUCUUUAAGAUCACCAUUGAGGAAUGCAUUCUAAACAAAGAGUUGACGAAUCAACUAUUGAAAAAAAAAAAGCAAUGGCAAGCACUAUGCGAAUUGUGGAAGCUUUUACAAUUCUUUUGUGAUCAAAUGAGCUUUGUAUCAAUCAAUAGUCCCAUCAAGUUUGUAUUUAAGUUUGUAAACCCAUUUAUAGUCAAUGAUAUUACUAUUAAGAGUAGGGACAAGGUGCAAUGUAUUGUUGUUCAUGAGGGCAGUGAAUUCUUUUUCCAUGGCAAGUAGCCAAUUCAAAUCUUUUGCUGCUUGUAUAAAGGUAUGGGGUUUAACAGCUUUGUGAACCAUGGGCACCUUCUUCUUGAAAAUGUCGUCCUUUGCACGUGUGACCAUUGGAUGGUGAUUUAUGGGUUAAGGGUAAGAACUAGUAAUGUUAGUCGUGGAAUCAACAAAAAGAAUUGGAAUAAUAGUUGAUAUUGAAGAUGUUGGUGAAGGUGAAGGUGAAGGACCAUUAGAUGAGUAGGUUGUAGUGUGUGGUAAAGCCAAUGAACUAUGAUGAUAGACACGAGUACAAGCAGGAUCUUAGUUAGUAGAAACGAUGAACCACAGAGUGAGGAAAUGAGGAGAUGUGGGUAAAAAUGUUGGAGUAUAAGAAGACUGAAUGGAGGAAGGAGUCAACAAAGAGAUGGAAGAAACAGUGGAGUGUUGGAAUGGAAAUACUGUUUCAUCAAAGAUAACAUGUUGAGUUAUAUACAUUUGGUUUGAAAUGUGGUCAAAGCACACAUACCCUUUGUGAAUUGGGCUAUAGAUAAGGAAGAUACAUCGGAUUGAACGAUAUGAGAGUUUGUGUUUAUUGUAGGGGCAUCCAAAAAUUUUGAAGUGAUGAUAAUUCAGGGUUUUUCCAAAGAGAACUUGGAAUAGGGACUAAAGUUAAAGUACCUUAGUGGGCAUACGAUUGAUAAGCAAUAUGGUUGUAUGGAACACAUAGUCAAAACUUUAAAGGUAAAGAGGCAUUAGCUAAAAGUGUCAGACCAAUUUCCAUUUUUCUUUUCUUUUCUUUUCUUUCUUUUUUCUUUACCAUUUUUUAUUAGACUAAAAAAGUAAGAAUAAUUAGUUAUGUGUGAUUGAAAUUGAUCCUUAAGCUAAACCAUAUUACCUAAUAAAUAGAUAAAGCAUAUAAUGUUUUACUUUGCACUAAAAAACAAGUGUAUCCAAACAAAUAAUUUAAUUUGUGAUAUAAGACUUGGCCUUUAAUUUGUGACUACAAUUUUAGAAAUUUAAACUUAAUUCUUUGUCAACCUUUUCCUACAAAGCAAGUGGUUUUACCUUUAGAAAUGUCCCAUUUGGGUCCCAACAUCGAAGACAAUAUUAAUUAAUAUUGAAAACCGAAGAGAUGGUUGGCUAUAUAAACUAUCUCACAAUGCUUGACAUUCAAUUUUAGCAACUUUACAAUCAAUCAAAAUAUGAUAUCCUAUAUCGCAUAAAGAAAUAAGUUUUUUGAUAUUAUAUAUAUGAACUUUUCUUAAUCAUGUAAACGUGUUUUAAAGUUGUAAGAUUUCAUUAAACCUAGAGCAUAUAAUGUCUGCAUGAGAGGGAAUAAGUCAUUACACAAAAAAUCAAAAAAUUAAUUAACAUAUAUGAUUAUAUAUAUAAUCCUAGUUAAAAGCUUCUUUCUAGCCCACAACAGUUUUCCAAUGGCAAAGGAAUCAUGUCCUCAAAAGGCUAGAUAAACCUCCCUUUAGUGUUAAGAAAAUUUAUUUAGUGGUUAUUUAAAAUGUCAUAUUUGACCAAUAUUGAUGACAAUGACCACGAUGACGAUGAUGAUGGAUAUUUUAACCCAAAGUGGAGAAAAUAAAGAGAUAAUUUGUUAUAAUAAUUAUUUGCUAUUUGAAAAGAAUGAAAAGCCCAUUGGUUUUGGGCCUUGGUGCAAACAAGGUUGUCUUCCAAUCGGCUUGUUUCAAUUUAAGUUUAAAAUUAACUCCAUUGAGGCCAUAACAUUUAAUUAGUGGAGUGGUCCAAGCUAUUUAGGCCCAACAAUAGGCUCGUUAGUGAGCCGUUGGGCCAAGUCCAGUGGAAGGCUCAUAGGUAGCUUAUGGGAGGACGUGAGCAUGAAUGGCUUGGGCCACGCUGGGAUCAUGUGCUAUUUGAAUUGGGUCAGGCCCGAUAUGGAGUUUGAUGCCAUAAGCCAGCCUUGUACUAGUAUCCGACAACAAAGUUAAUUCUGGUAGCCCACUAAGGGCUGACUCAAGGCCCACAAUUACAUUUAUGCCGAACCACAUAAGCCCAAGUCCGCUUAACAUGAAAUACGCGUAAUAAAAAUAGGAAUUAAUUACGUAUUAAAAAUAUUAAACUUUAUUUGUUUUUGAAUAAAAUAUUAUUAAUAUUAUUAUUAUUUUUUAACAAAAAGAUUUAAUUAUAUUUUUUUAUGAAGAUGUUGAUAUCCAUAGUUUUAUAAUACAUCGUAAAAUAGUUUUAUUAUUAUAAAAAAUAAUCUAUGAUUUUUUUUUAUAAUAUUAGUAUUCAUAUUUUAUUAAAAACAAUUUAUUUUUUACUUUAUUUAUAAAUAAAAAAUAUUUUUAUUUUCAAUAAGACUUGAAUUAAAUUUAAUAUAUUAUAUAAAUUUAACUUACAAUUUUAUUUUUAUUUUUUUUGUAAAAUCAAAAUAAAAAAUAUUUUUAAAAACAAGUCAUUCAAGCCGGUUUUUUUAAAUGUUAAAAAAAAAAAUUAAUUUUAAAAUACAAGGAUAAGAAAACAUGGUGAAAUGGGUCAUUCUUGUUUUUCAUGAAAUAGUGGGUGGCUGUUUUGAUGGGAGUGCCAAGGUGUCGACAUAGAAGCAUAGAACAUUGUAAGGCAGUUGAUGGAUCCAGAAAUGAUAGAAAUAAUGGUAGUCAUUUAAACUUGACUUACUUUCCAUGAAAAACAGGUAUUCAAGGCUUGUUGGAGAAUGUUUUCAAAAUAUUUAUUUAAUAAUGUUUUUCUUAAAUAAAAAUUUGUUAAAAACAUAAAAUAUUCUCUAACCUAUUUUCUAUAUUUUCAAAUAUUUUUAAAAACAACUUUUAUUUGUAUUACUUCAUUUUUACUCAUUUUUUAUAUUUAAAUAAUUAUUUUUUAAAAUAUUCCUCAAACAAAUCAUCGAAAAUAGUUGAAAACAAUUAUUAUAUAUUUUACACCUUAUCAAUUUCCACCGACAAGCCUUUAAGAAAUAUUAGAAAAAAGGGUUUGAAUGAUUCUUUAAGUGAUGUUAGUUUGUUGUCUCCAAUGAAAAAAUGGUUGCCAUUGCUUUCAUAAGACCUAAGAGUAGGAGGGUGUGAACACAAACAUUAAAACAUUGUGGGGUAGUUGAUGUAAAGGCUUAUCUAAUUCCUUAAGUGGUCCUUAUUAUUAAUCUUCCAAGGAAAAACAUGCACCAAGAAGUUUUCCAUGAAAUUUACAAAAAAAAAAAGAAAGAAAUAACAUCUAUGAUGUACCAAUUAGAAGGACUAAACAAUGAAAAGUGAGUUUUUGCAAAAUAAUUAUUGGGGUGAACCAUUUGGAAAAGUGUCAAGUAGAAACAUUAAAUAUUAUAAGGUAGUUAAUGUCUGUAACCAGGAUAUGAUUGAAAAGCUAGACUAAUUACUUUGGUAAUUUCAUAUUUGCCAUGGAGAAACAGGCCUAAAAAAAAAUUUCAAAAAAAAAAUUAUGGCCUAGAUAAUGUCCAAAAAUGCCAAUUAGAAAAACUAAACACUAGGAAUCUAUGACCAAUAACUUUUUGUCUUUUGUGAGAGAAUGGGUGCAACUAUUUUCAAAAAAAUUAUUGGGAAUUAAGAAUCGCUUAGGAAGGUGUCAGCAUUGAAAAACAUUAUAGGGUUGUUGAUGUAUCUAACAAAGAUUGAAGGGUAGAAUGCUUGACCAAUUCCUUUAAUGGUUUCUUUGUCAUGGAAAAAUAGGCUUAAAACCGGAUGUUAUUGGUUUCAAAAGAAUUAAUUCGAAUAACAUAAAAAUAUAUACCGAUGGUGACCAUCAAUGAAGAACUGAGAAAAAAGUUUCGAGCAUUUGUUUUAAAUGAUGGAAAAACAUGUCUUCGACGAUCGAAAAGCUAGCUUGAAAGUUGAUGUGUCUAACAAUAAUUGAAGGGUAGAAUGCUUGACCAACUCCUUUAAUGGUUUCUUUUUUCCAUGGAAAAACAAGCACUAAAAUAUGGAUGUUAUUGUUUUCAAAAGAAUUGAUUUUCAUGACAUAAAAAUAUAUAUCAAUGGUGACGGUCAAUGUAGAAAUGAGAAAAAAGUUAAGAGCAUUUGUCUAAUUAAAUGAUGGAGAAACGCGUCUUCUACAACCAAAAAGCUAAACAUGGAAAUUGAUGUAUCUAACAAGGAUUGAAGAGUAGAAUACAUGACUAAUUCCUUUAAUGGUUUCUUUUUGCAAUGAAAACAAGCAUUGAAAAAUGGAUUUUAUUGUUUUCAAAAGAAUUAAUUGGAAUGAAAUAAAAAUAUAUACCGAUGGUGAUGGUCAAUGUAGAAAUGAGAAAAAAGUUAAAAGCAUUUGUCUUAAGUAAUGGAGAAACACAUUCUCAACAACCCAAAAGCUAGCUUGGAAGUUGAUGUAUCUAACAAGGAUUGAAGGGUAGAAUGCUUGACCAAUUCCUUUAAUGGUUUCUUUUAGCCAUAGAAAAACAAGCACUAAAAAAUGGAUGUUAUUGUUUUAAAAAGAAUUAAUUGGGCUUGUGAUACUUCGACGACCAAAAAACUAGACUUGGAAGUUGAUGUAUCUAACAAGGAUUGAACGGUGGAAUGCUUGAUCAAUUCCUUUAAUGGUUUCUUUUUGCCAUGGAAAAAUAGACACUGAAAAUUGGAUAUUAUUGGUUUCAAAAAAUUAAUUGGAAUAAUAUAAAAAUAUAUACCGACGGAUGACCAUUAAUGAAGAAAUGAGAAAAAAGUUUAGAGCAUUUAUUUUGAAUAAUGGAAAAACACGUCUUCGACGACUGAAAAACUAUCUUAGAAGUUGAUGUAUCUAACAAGGAUUGACGGGUAUAAUGCUUGACCAAUUCCUUUAAUGGUUUUUUUUUGUCCCAGAAAAACAAACACUAAAAUAUGGAUGUUAUUGUUUUCAAAAGAAUUGAUUUUAAGGAAUAAAAUAUAUAUCAAUGGUGACUGUCAAUGUAGAAAUGAGAAAAAAGUUAAGAGAAUUUGUUUAAUUAAAUGAUGGAGAAACGCGUCUUCGAUAACCAAAAAGCUAGACUUGGAAAUUGAUGUAUCUAACAAAUAUUGAAGGGUAGAAUGCUUGACCAAUUCCUUUAAUGGUUUCUUUUAGCCAUAGAAAAACAAGCACUAAAAAAUGGAUAUUAUUGUUUUCAAAAGAAUUAAUUGGGCUUGUGACAUAAAAAUAUAUACCAAAGGUGACGGUCAAUGUAGAAAUGAGAAAAAAGUUGAGAGCAUUUGUCUUAAAUGAUGGAGAAAUGCAUCUUCGACGACCAAAAAGCUAGACUUGAAAGUUGAUGUAUCUAACAAGGAUUGAACGGUGGAAUGCUUGAUCAAUUCCUAUAAUGGUUUCUUUUUGCCAUGGAAAAAUAGACACUGAAAAUUGGAUAUUAUUGGUUUCAAAAAAUUAAUUGGAAUAAUAUAAAAAUAUAUACCGACGAUGACCAUUAAUGAAGAAAUGAGAAAAAAGUUUAGAGCAUUUAUUUUGAAUGAUGGAAAAACACGUCUUCGACGACUGAAAAACUAUCUUAGAAGUUGAUGUAUCUAACAAGGAUUGAAGGGUACAAUGCUUGACCAACUCCUUUAAUGGUUUCUUUUUGUCCCAGAAAAACAAGCACUAAAAUAUGGAUGUUAUUGUUUUCAAAAGAAUUGAUUUUAAGGACAAAAAUAUAUAUCAAUGGUGACUGUCAAUGUAGAAAUGAGAAAAAAGUUAAGAGAAUUUGUCUAAUUAAAUGAUGGAGAAACACNNNNNNNNNNNNNNNNNNNNNNNNNNNNNNNNNNNNNNNNNNNNNNNNNNNNNNNNNNNNNNNNNNNNNNNNNNNNNNNNNNNNNNNNNNNNNNNNNNNNUCCUUUAAUGGUUUCUUUUUGUCCCAGAAAAACAAGCACUAAAAUAUGGAUGUUAUUGUUUUCAAAAGAAUUGAUUUUAAGGACAAAAAUAUAUAUCAAUGGUGACUGUCAAUGUAGAAAUGAGAAAAAAGUUAAGAGAAUUUGUCUAAUUAAAUGAUGGAGAAACACGUCUUCGAUAACCAAAAAGCUAGACUUGGAAAUUGAUGUAUCUAACAAAUAUUGAAGGGUAGAAUGCUUGACCAAUUCCUUUAAUGGUUUCUUUUAGCCAUAGAAAAACAAGCACUAAAAAAUGGAUGUUAUUGUUUUCAAAAGAAUUAAUUGGGCUUGUGACAUAAAAAUAUAUACCAAAGGUGACGGUCAAUGUAGAAAUGAGAAAAAAGUUGAGAGCAUUUGUCUUAAAUGAUGGAGAAAUGCAUCUUCGACGACCAAAAAGCUAGACUUGGAAGUUGAUGUAUCUAACAAGGAUUGAAGGAUAGAAUGCUUGACCAAUUCCUUUAAUGGUUUCUUUUUGCCAUGGAAAAAUAGACACUGAAAAUUGGAUGUUAUUGGUUUCAAAAUAAUUACUUGGAAUAAUAUAAAAAUAUAUAUCGACGAUGACCAUUAACGAAGAAAUGAGAAAAAAGUUUAGAGCAUUUAUUUUGAAUGAUGGAAAAACACGUCUUCGACGACUGAAAAAACUAUCUUAGAAGUUGAUGUAUCUAACAAGGAUUGAAGGGUACAAUGCUUGACCAACUCCUUUAAUGGUUUCUUUUUGUCCCAGAAAAACAAGCACUAAAAUAUGGAUGUUAUUGUUUUCAAAAGAAUUGAUUUUAAGGACAAAAAUAUAUAUCGAUGGUGACUGUCAAUGUAGAAAUGAGAAAAAAGUUAAGAGAAUUUGUUUAAUUAAAUGAUGGAGAAACGCGUCUUCGAUAACCAAAAAGCUAGACUUGGAAAUUGAUGUAUCUAACAAAUAUUGAAGGGUAGAAUGCUUGACCAAUUCCUUUAAUGGUUUCUUUUAGCCAUAGAAAAACAAGCACUAAAAAAUGGAUGUUAUGGUUUUCAAAAGAAUUAAUUGGGCUUGUGACAUAAAAAUAUAUACCAAAGGUGACGGUCAAUGUAGAAAUGAGAAAAAAGUUGAGAGCAUUUGUCUUAAAUGAUGGAGAAAUGCAUCUUCGACGACCAAAAAGCUAGACUUGGAAGUUGAUGUAUCUAACAAGGAUUGAACGGUGGAAUGCUUGAUCAAUUCCUUUAAUGGUUUCUUUUUGCCAUGGAAAAAUAGACACUGAAAAUUGGAUAUUAUUGGUUUCAAAAAAUUAAUUGGAAUAAUAUAAAAAUAUAUACCGACGAUGACCAUUAAUGAAGAAAUGAGAAAAAAGUUUAGAGCAUUUAUUUUGAAUGAUGGAAAAACACGUCUUCGACGACUGAAAAACUAUCUUAGAAGUUGAUGUAUCUAACAAGGAUUGAAGGGUACAAUGCUUGACCAACUCCUUUAAUGGUUUCUUUUUGUCCCAGAAAAACAAGCACUAAAAUAUGGAUGUUAUUGUUUUCAAAAGAAUUGAUUUUAAGGACAAAAAUAUAUAUCAAUGGUGACUGUCAAUGUAGAAAUGAGAAAAAAGUUAAGAGAAUUUGUCUAAUUAAAUGAUGGAGAAACGCGUCUUCGAUAACCAAAAAGCUAGACUUGGAAAUUGAUGUAUCUAACAAAUAUUGAAGGGUAGAAUGCUUGACCAAUUCCUUUAAUGGUUUCUUUUAGCCAUAGAAAAACAAGCACUAAAAAAUGGAUGUUAUUGUUUUCAAAAGAAAUAAUUGGGCUUGUGACAUAAAAAUAUAUACCAAAGCUGACGGUCAAUGUAGAAAUGAGAAAAAAGUUGAGAGCGUUUGUCAUAAAUGAUGGAGAAAUGCAUCUUCGACGACCAAAAAGCUAGACUUGGAAGUUGAUGUAUCUAACAAGGAUUGAAGGAUAGAAUGCUUGACCAAUUCCUUUAAUGGUUUCUUUUUACCAUGGAAAAAUAGACACUAAAAAUUGGAUGUUAUUGGUUUCAAAAUAAUUAUUUGGAAUAAUAUAAAAAUAUAUAUCGACGGUGACCAUUAAUGAAGAAAUGAGAAAAAAGUUUAGAGCAUUUAUUUUGAAUGAUGGAAAAACACGUCUUCGACGACUGAAAAAACUAUCUUAAAAGUUGAUGUAUCUAACAAGGAUUGAAGGGUAGAAUGCCUUACCAACUCCUUUAAUGGUUUCUUUUUGUCCCAAAACAAGCACUAAAAUAUGGAUGUUAUUGUUUUCAAAAGAAUUGAUUUUAAGGACAAAAAUAUAUAUCAAUGGUGACUGUCAAUGUAGAAAUGAGAAAAAAGUUAAGAGAAUUUGUCUAAUUAAAUGAUGGAGAAACGCGUCUUCGAUAACCAAAAAGCUAGACUUGGAAAUUGAUGUAUCUAACAAAUAUUGAAGGGUAGAAUGCUUGACCAAUUCCUUUAUUGGUUUCUUUUAGCCAGAGAAAAACAAGCACUAAAAAAUGUAUGUUACUGUUUUCAAAAGAAUUAAUUGGUCUUGUGACAUCAAAAUAUAUACCAAUGGUGACGGUCAAUGUAGAAAUGAGAAAAAAGUUGAGAGCAUUUGUCUUAAAUGAUGGAGAAAUGCAUCUUCGAUGACCAAAAAGUUAGCUUGGAAGUUGAUAUAUCUAACAAGGAUUGAAGGGUAGAAUGCUUGACAAAUUCCUUUAAUGUUUUCUUUUUUCUUUUUUGCCAUGGAAAAAUAAACACCGAAAAUUGGAUAUUAUUGGUUUCAAAAGAAUUAAUUGGAAUAAUAUAAAAAUAUAUACCAUCGAUCACCAUUAAUGAAGAAAUGAGAAAAAAGUAUAGAGUAUUUGUUUUAAAUGAUGGAAAAACGCGUCUUCGACGAAUUAAAAGUGGUCUUGGAAGUUGAUGUAUCUAACAAGGAUUGAAGGGUAGAAUGCUUGACCAACUCCUUUAGUGGUUUCUUUUUGCCUUAGAAAAACAAGCAUUGAAAUAUGGAUGUUAUUAUUUUCAAAAGAAUUGAUUUUAAUGACAUAAAAAUAUAUAUCAGUAAUGACGGUCAAUGUAGAAAUGAGAAAAAAGUUAAUAGUAUUUGUCUAAUAAAAUGAUGGAGAAACACAUUUUUGACGACCAAAAAGCUGGACUUGGAAGUUGACGUAUCUAACAAGGAGUGAAAGGUAGAAUGCUUGACCAAUUCCUUUAAUGGUUUCUUUUUGCCAUGGAAAAAUAAGUACCAAAAAAUAUAUUUAAUUGGAUUGUUAUUUUAGAAUGGGAAUAAAUAAAAAAAAAUCAUUGUUAUGGAAGUUAAAUCUUACUCUUGUGAGAAUUCUGAUUCCUAAAUUCUAUAUCAUAAUAUGAUUCACUUGUUUUCCUAUCUUAUUUACAUUCCUAUUCCUAGCUACCAAAAGCACACUUUCUUUUACAUGAUAAUAACCCCCUCAGGAGUAGUUUAUUAGCUUCACAACCCACUUUUGAAGAACAAAAAUCCUCAAAACUGCUUAUAUUUUGAAUAAUAUUUGGGAAAGCUUCUUAAACCUAAUUUGUUGCCAAAUAUCACUGAGUUUAUUGCCAUUAAACACAAAGAUUACGUUGAUGAACUAUUACAACAUGAUACUAAGUAAUUUACAUGCUCAUAAUACACUAAAAUAGAAACAUAACCAAUUAUCUUUUUACUCUAUUUUUGAGAUGACUGUCAACUCUUGUUGAUGCAUGUUUGGACUUGUUCUUGUUGGGCCCAUGGAAGUAAAUGGGUUUGGAGGCAUACUUAAAUUGUUUCCUUCUCCUUCUAACAUCUGAAUAAUAAAUUUCAUGGAAGGACGGUUCGUUGGGCACCAUUGAAUGCACCAAAGUCCCACAAUUAAUAGUUUCUUUGCUAUUUCACCAUCAUUUUCUUCCUCAAUCGGAAUGUGCAACUCUUCCCUUUUAUCCAGACGAUUAUAAACCCAUUCUGGAAAAUAUACUUGGCUAGUGUUCUUUACUGUAGUGUCUAUAUUCUUCCUUCCUCCAACCAUUUCAAUCAAUAACAUUCCAAAACUAUAAACAUCUUACUUGUAGGAAACAUUGCCAAAAUUCCUAGAUAUCAUUUCCGGUGCAAUAUAACCCAUGGUCCCCCUAAUUACACUCAUAGAAACUGCACUUUGCUCCUUAGAACACAAUUUGGCUAGACCAAAAUCAGAUAUCUUUGGAUUAAAAUUAUGAUCUAGCAAAAUAUUGUGAGGUUUGAUGUCGAAAUGGAGGAUUCUUUGAUCACAUCCUUGAUGAAGAUACUCAAUUCCUUUGGCUAUGCCUAUAGCAAUAUCUUGAAGCUUUUCCCAACCAAGUGAAUGGUUUGAAAAUAUGAAUUUUUCUAGCGACUCAUUUGAUAAAAACUCAUAGAUAAGAGCUCUUCGAUACCCAUCAGAACAGAAGCCAAUCAAGUGAACAACAUUGAUAUGGUGGAUUCUACCUAUUGUUCCCACUUCAUUAAUGAACUCUUCCCCAUUUCCAUUAGAAUAAUUCAAGAUCUUCACGGCAACAAGAAUUUCAUUAGAAAGCUUUCCUUUAUAGACAGUUCCAUAACCUCCUUCACCUAAUUUUUCCUUGAACCCAUCUGUAAUCCUCUUAAUAUCAUUGUAAGAGUAUCUUGAGGGCUUGAGGGCUCUGUAAUCUUCCAAGAACUUUAUAACCUUUAUUUUGUGCUGUCUUUUCAAUUCAUUUGAGCUAUAAACUCGGUAGAGUGCAAAGACAAGUGUCACAAGAAAAAGGGAACCAAGGAUUUCACCUGCAUAUGGAAAAAAAAAAUAAUAAAAAUGGUCAAGAUCGAUUUUCCUUUUAGUGAUUGAAGGAAAAGCAACCAAGUUACUGCAAAUUACCUAUAACAAUUAACUUUUUUUUUGUUGCACCUGUAAAAGGAAAUAAAAUUAUUAGUUUGUCAGGCUGAUUAAAUAAACAAAAAUCACUGACAUUGUAUAUGUAUACUGCAUCUUGAUUUUCAGCCUUGUCUCUAAUUUGUGACCCUUAUGCCUUUCUAGUUUCAUUUUUGAGGUCAAUUAAUUUUAGUUGUGCCAGGGUCUUUGAUAAAGAACUUUCCCUAGGCUUGAAGUACUAAAAUUGCCACCAGAUCAUUAAUCCCCAUUUUGUCACAUGUAUAGUUGUCUUGGGUGGACAGUCUUCAUCAACUGAUCACAUUGGUUCAAUCUAUUUUGUGGCAGAAAAAUAUAAAAGCUAAACGCUAUAUUAAUAUACAUCCUAGCCAACAAUUUGCAGCAAUUACUCAUAUAGGAGGAAGUUGUUCUUCUUGGUUAAAAGGAAAAAUGAAUCCAAAUUCACACAUUGCAGCCAUUUUUAAUGACGAACAAUCAAAUUUUAAGUAAAUACUUAGAAAAGAAUAAUGUGACAAUGCAGUUUAAUAGUGAUCAUCAUUCCAUGACUCUGCAUCAAUUUCCUAACAAAUUUGUUUUCACUUUCUUUACAAUUAUAUUGAAGUGUCUUCACAUACAAACUCAUGAUAUCUUGGGGUAUUAUAUCAAAUAUGAUAUAUUAUGUUACACUUCUAUUUAAUUUGUGAAAAGACUAAAAGAUAAAAUGAAAAAUAUAUUUAUGAUUGAAAUAUGUAAAAUUUAUAAAUAAAAAUAUUAUAUCAUAUUAUAUUAUUAAAUUUAGAAGAUAGAUUUUUAUAUAUUAUAUUAAGUAAUAUAUAUGUUUGAAUUAUUUUAUGAUAUAUUUUUUUUAGUUCUUUCUUUAAUUAAAAAUUAAAUUUUUUAAAUCAAAAUUACUUGUGUUAUAAAAUGAAUAAUAUAGAAAAUUGAUAAGAAACAUAAAAUACUAAUUUAAUAGAUAUGUACAUGGCAUUCCUCAAUUUGAGAUUAUUAUAGUCGUGGAUAGGGAAUUAAGGAAUAUAAAAAGAGUUGAAAUAAUAAAUCUUAUUACUUAUCCUAUACAACCAUGGAAUAUGAUAUAUUAUUCAAUGUCUUAUCAUGUGUUAUACUAUAUUUGAACAAUCAAACUUAGAGUCCGUUUGAUAAUGUUUUUAAAAAUCAUUUCUAGUCUACAAAGUAUUUUUGAAAAAAAUUCACACAUUUGGUAAAAUUUGAAAAACAUAAAAAAAAAUCAUAUUUAAUGUUUUUUGUUAAGUGAUUAUCUUUAAAAUACUGUUAGAAAAAACACUAUAUUGAAAGCAUUUUGAAGAAAAACAUCACCAAUUGCACUUUUAGGAAAUAUUUGAUUUUUUAAACUUAAUUCUAAAUAAAACAUAAGAUUAAAUAGUAUUUAAUCGUGUUAAAUUAUUAAGUUGUUUGUUUUUUUUAAUAUUUUAUUUCUAUUAAGUUUUAAAUAGUAAAAAAAAAUUAGUUAUUAUGAUUUAAUUUUAGUAUUUAGAAGAAGAUUUUAGUUCUUUUUAUUCAAUCAAAUUUUUUUUAAAAUAAGUAAUAAGUGAACAAAAAGAUAAAAACAAAUGAUGUAAGUCUCAAGUUAUAUUCAGGUUAAAAAAACAAACACCACCUUUAACAAAACUACUUUUGAUUUGAGAUAGUAUAUCAACAGUUAAUUUCCAGUGGGGCUGCAUGUCUUACCUUCUGCUUCGCAGUGUGGCAACUUGGUCCAUUUCAGCUGAGUAGCAUUUACCUGUGACCUAAUAACGAAAUAAGGAGCUGCUGCGACGUUGUACAUCUUGCUGCAAGAUGGUAGGUACGCGUCACUGGGGUUUCCCAAUGAAGAAGCAGCAUAAACUUGGAAGCCAGGCCCUCCAAGGCAAGGGAUGGGUAACACAGAGGAUCCAUCAUAAUAUGUAGUACUGUUUCUUGAAGGGCAUUUGAAGAAGGUGAGGGGCUCUGAGUAAUCAUCCAAGAACUGGAAGGGAGAGGAAGCUAAAUGGAGAUUACGAAACUGCCUUGGGAAGCAAUUAUCAGGGUCCUGAACAAGGAUUUCCUUAGAUCUGUAAUUUAUUUCCUUCACCAAGAGGUUUACUGAGUCUGGCAGCUCUAGAAUCGUCUGAUUCCUCUGUGUGCAGGAGAGCUCAAACAAAGAGCAGCCACAGUGGUCUGGGUACUGGUGGCCUUUAAGCCGGAAUGGGAAAAGGAUGGGGGGGCCCUGGAGGCUGCAACUCUGUGACACCAUGCACUCAUCUUGGCUCACUCCAGUCUCUGCAAAACUACUAAUUAUUACAGUCAAGCAGCAACACAGAUAGAGGAAUACCAUUUUCAAGGAAAUGCUCAUCUGAUAGUCUCCUCUGCAGUACUGCAGGCUGCUGAUGAGCCCCUCAAUGGACAUUAGAUUUGGAAUUUUUGCAAAGGAGUGAGGAACGAGCUCUACUCUUUCUUUUGCAUCUUCUUAAUAAAUGGAGCGUUUUAUUUAUUUAUUUUAAUCUCUGACAAAAUUAUUCAAUACUUAGGUACUAGGUGUCAAAGUUUGUGAUCUUGCGGAUCGGAAAGAUUGUAUGACUACGGAAAGUAAUAAGGAAGGAAAGAAGAAAAAAUAAUAAGAAUUUUUUUUUAAGAAAAUCAAGUAUAAUUAAAAUUUGUUAAAAAUUUAUAUAUUUUAAAAUUGUUUAAUUUUAUAUAAAAUAAAUAAAUAAGUUAAAUGAGUUUGAAGCAGUUUACAGAAAUAAUUUAUUGAUUUUAAAUUUAUUUUUUAUUUUUUCUAUUUUUUCUCUUAAUUUUCUUUCUUGUUACACUUUUUUUUCCAGCAAACAAACUCUAAAUCUAGUGAAACUCAUAAUGUUAGACUCAUUAAAAAGAUAAGUAACUUUAUACCAAAAGAAUUAAAAAUAUUAUGGCGUUUUUAGUAAAAAUAUUACAAUAAUGUCUAGGAAGUGUCAAUUAAAAAUAUUAGGUGGGGUUUUUGGGGCAAUGUCUACCGGCAAGACUUUAAGAAAUAUUCAAAAAAUAGCUUGAGUGAUUCUUUAAUUCAGGAAUUUUUUUUUCAAUGAAAAAUGGUUGUUAUUGUUUUCAUAAGACUUAAAGAGUAGGAAGGUGUGAACAUAGAAAUGUCAAAACAAAACAUUGUGGGGUAGUUGAUGCAUCCAACAAGGAUAGAGAUAAGGGUAGAAAGGCUUGCCUAAUUCUUAGGUGGUUGUCAUUACUAAUUUUCCAUGGAAAAAGAUGCACCAAAAAUUUUUCCACAAAAUAUGCCAAAGAGGAAUAAUGUCUAUGGUGUAUCAAUUAGAAGGACCAAACAAUGAAAAAUGAGUUUUUGCAAAAGAAUUAUUGGGAAUUAAGGAUCUUCCAAGAAGGUGUCAGCAUUGAAACUUCAAACAUUGUGGGGUUGUUGAUGUGUCUAACAAGGAUUGAAAUGUAGAAUGUUAGACCAAUUCCUUUCAUGGUUUUUAUUUUUUAUUUUUUUUGCCAUAGAAAAAUAGGCACCGAAAAAUGGAUGUUAUUGAAAAAAAUGUUUGGAUGUCCAUGUUGGUUUAAAGCAUUUGUCUUAAAUGAUAGGAUAACGUUGUUGUCUUUGAUGACCGAAAAAACAACUUACAAGACAUAACUCAAGAUCUUUGGCUUGAGUUUUGGCAAUUGUGUAUUUUUCAUUAAAUAAAUAAAUUCCAAAUCAAUCAAACACUUGAUAUAUGCAAUCAACUAAUUUUUUAAAUACUUAAAACUCAGCAAAAUUGAUUCAAUUAUUACUAAGUCAUGAAACUAGAAAUUGAUCUAAUUAAUAUUAAAAAUUCACAUACCAAAUUUAUUAUGAAUGAGUUAGCUAGUUUCUUCUUUACACAACUUUACUAAGUAAAUAAACUCUAAAUCUAACAAAGCUUAAUGUUUUAGACUUGUUAAUGACUUUAAUAAUUUAAAAAUAAUAAUUUGGAACUCAAAAAUAAAUUCCACUACUACUAGAAAUAAUAUAUCAAAGUUGGUACAUAAUGAGAUAUGACUUUACUACUGCUCUUAUGCAUACAACUAUACUUUAAGUAAAUAUAUUCUAAAUCAAGUGAGCUUAAUGUUUUAAAUUAUUUAAUAUACAUUCUAGUUCUUAAGAUUAAUUUGGAUUUUAAAAUUGAGACACAAUUAAUUGUAAAGUGAAUUAAAACUAGUCUAAAAUACUCUAUACUAAAUAUUACAUAUAAUGAAAAACAUUACUUAGUUACAUAUUAAACAAAAUAUUAUUAAUUAUUAUUAUUUCUAAUUAUUAUCAUUUAUUUUUAACAAUAAAAUUCAAUUAUACUUUUACGAAGAUAUUGAAAUAGGUUAGCAUCUAUACUUAUCCCAAAAGAAAGAAAGCAUAGAGAUUCACAUGUAAGGAGGAGGACUACUUGAUUAGCUCCAAAGAGUAUCCAUAGCUCUAAACCUUUAUAGUUUUAUAACAUAUAGUAAAAUAGUAUUAUUUUUAUUAAAAAAAUUAAUUUAUGAAUUUUUUAAUAUUAGUGUUCGUAAUUUAAAAUAAAAAAAUUCUUGUUUUCCGUGAAAAAGUGGGUGGUUAUUUUUAGAGGAAUUUAUUGCAAGGGCAGAGCCAAGGUGUCAACAUAGAAGCAUUGAACUUUGGUAGGUUGAUGGCUCCAAAAAUGAUAGAAAUAAUGGUAACCAUUUAAGCUUAACUUAUUUUCCAUGGAAAAAUAGGUAUUGAACGUUGGAAAUGUUUUAACACACAAUUCUCUAAUGUCUUCUUGAAUAAAAGUUUAUUUAGAACUUGAAAUAUUCUCCACCUAUUUUCUAUGUUUUUGAAUAUUUUUUAAAAAUAACUUAAUUUUAUUAUGAUACCUUAUUUUCAGUCAUUCUCCACAUGUGAACAAUUAUUUUUUUAAAUAGUCCUCCAAAAAUAAAUGAAAAUGAUUAAAAAUAAUUAAUGUAUGUUUUCAUAAAACACAUUUGCCUUAUUUGGUAACUAUUUUUUAAAACAGUUUUAGGGAAAAGUUUUUGGAAACCGUUUUCAAAUGUUUUGUAGAAUAAAAGUUUGUUUGGGAAUCUGAAAUGUUUUUAAUAUUUUUAAAUAUAUUAUAAAAUAAUUUUUAUAUCUAAUCCUUUAUUUUUAAUCAUUCUACAUGUUUAUAUAAUUAUUUUCUAAAACAACCCUUAAAAAAUAAAUGAAAAUAACAUAAAAUAACUAAAAGUCGUUAUCCAAAAAUAUCCUAUUUUUUAUUCUUAAGAAUAAAAAACAUAAAAUGGUUUUUAAUUGCCAAAUGUGUUUUUUUUUGUUCUAAAAACAGAAAAUUGUUCUUGAAAACGGUUGUCAAAUAAGUCCCUUGUUUUGGUAACAAGUUUUCAAAGAAUUGUUUCCUUUCCAAAAGUUACCAAAAAUGGUUUUGAAUGUUGAAAAUAAGGCUUUGUUGAGUAACCAUUUUUGAAAACAAUUUUGAAAAAUAAUUUUUGAGAACAAUUAGAAAACAAUCUUUGAAAAUUAUUCUUUAAUGUUUUGUAGAACAAAUGUCAAUUUGGAACUUAUUUAUAAAUAUAUUUUAAAAAUAACUUUUAUAUGUAGUGCUUUAUUUUUAAUCAUUCUUCAUAUUUGUAUAAUUAUUUUUUUAAAUGUCCCUAAAAAAACAAGUGAAAACAGUUAAAAGAUGUUCUGUGAAAAUUCCUUAUUUUUUAUUUUUAAGGGUAAAAAAUUGUUUUUUUAAGGAUAAAAAAUUGUUUUAUGUUUUCUGAUUUCAAAAGUAUUUUUUUAUUUUUUUUAUGGAGAAAAAAAAAAUCUCUUGUGAAAAUAGUUACUAAAUAAGCCCUCAUUUUUUUUAACAUCAAGAAAAGCUUGGAAUAAUAUCAAAAAUUCAUGGGCUAGGGAUAAUAUAAAAAAAAAACUAAACAAUAGAAGAAAAGCUUGGAAUAACAUCAAGAAAAAUGCCAAUUAGAAAAACUAAAUAAUGGUAGAAAAGCUUGACUAAUUCCUUUGGCGGUCUCUUUUUUUUCAUGGAAAAAUAGGCACCAAAAUUUUUUCCACAAAAACGUUUGGCCUACAGAUGACAUCAAGAAAAAUGCCAACUAGAAAAACUAAACAAUAGUAGAAAAUGGACUAAUUCCUUUGGUAGUUUUAGGAAUGGCAAUUUCGCGGGUUUCCCGGGUCACCUGCCCCGCCCCGCCCCUAUUGGGACGGGUAUAGGAACAUGGCAGUCGGGGAUGGGCCGGGUUCAGGAUUUUUUUAAAAACCCGAAUCGGGUUCGGGGCGGGGUCGGGUGUAGUUAUAAUUUGACCCGCCCCGAAUAUGAAAUUACUACUUUACCCCCCACUUAUAAAUAUUAGUUUCCUCUCCUCAUUUUAGGUUUUCUUCUCUCAGUUCUCGUUUCUGUCAACGCUAGGGUUUUUCCUCCCACUCAAUGGAGAAAUCCAUCAGAUAAUCCAUUCGAAAAUCCAUUUCCUCUCGAUUCAUCCUUGUUUAUCCCAUAUUCACAAGAAAUCAAGAAUCACAACUAUUAUCUUCACGUAUCUACAAACCGGUAAGAUUUUUUGGUUGAAUGAUGCCUUGAUUUGGUGUUGUAUUCCGUUUCUAAUUCGAGAAAGAGAUACGAGAUUUAGGAUUUUUCCAUUUCCAGUUUCAGAUUAUUGAAGGAUUUUUUUUUUCUAUUAGUUUUCGGGUUGCUAUUUAGGGUUUUGAAUCCGUUUCUUGCGAAUCUUAAUAGGGGCUAAGCAGAUCUUAUCGUCAAAUGCUUCCACUCCCUUCAUAUUGAGAAACGGGUCUUAUCGUCAAAUUUUUCUAGGGUUAGAGUAGUGAGGCAAAGGAGACCUUUAGUAGGCUAGUUUGAAAGGAAUAUAUCAGUGAACAUUAGAAAUCUAGGGCACUGUGGCUCAAGGGCGAUGACCUAAAUAUGUAGCACUUUCAUCAUUUGGCUAAUGCUCAUUAGCAUCAAAAUCAAAAUGGUGGACUGAGGAUGAUGAGAUCACCGAUAAGGUCAUUUCUUUUAUCAGAAGAUCAUCAAUAAACUCAUUCAUCGGUCUUUACUUCCAGAAUCUCCACUCUGACACCAUAUGUUGGAGGUUGGGUGGUUCAGAGUUUGGCCAUAUUGAUUCCCUUGAGCAACUUCAACUUAAGAGGGACUUUACUGCAAGCCCUUAAAGGCCUAAGUAGUGAUGAGGCCCUGGACUCGAAUGGCAUAUUGGCUACAGAAUUGGAAAAUGGUUAAAGUGGUGUUGUUGGGCGCUCUUCAAUCUUUUCAUGAAAUCGUGGAGUUUGAGGGAAAUUUGAAUGUAAUUUUUGUAUUCUUCUUCCUAAUGGGGGAACAGAGGCCAUAAAAGGCAUUAGAAACCAAUGGUGUGUUGGGGAUAUUUACCAACCCUUACUAAGAUCUUUGCUUUAAGAAUGAGUGUUCAUAAGCUGGUGGGACUAUGGGAGUUGUGGAAUGCUUGGGGAAGAUAAAAAAAAUUUCAGUGUGGCAUUGAUUGCUUUGAUUUUAGAAAGAUAUUAGGGGUUAGUAGAUGGUGUAGAACUUCUUAUUGAGAAUGCUUAUGAUAACAUUAACAGGAAAUUUGGAAUUUUCUCUCUUAUGUUGUGUUCUGGAUGGCAUUUGGAUGGACUAAAAUUGCAUUGAAACAGUCAGGAAUAUGACUCAUUAUUUCAAUUCCUAUUUGUCGAGGUGUAGCAAAAUGAUGUGUAUAGCAGUCUUUUUGCGCCCUUCUUUUCUUUUUUUUUUUUUUUCUUUUUUUUGUUUUUUUGUUUUUGUUUUUGUGUGUGUGUUCUUGGUUGGAUGGGGGCACACAUCUCUGCUGGGUUGGCUUUUAUGCGACCAAGGGGUGAGGAUUACCUCACGUGUAUUAUAUGCUGAUGACAUCACAACCUUUUUUUUUUCGGUGUAGAGAUUGAGUAGCUGGGAUAGCUCAAACGUUUUGUCUUCCCUUUUUAGGCUGCUGCUGGGUUGAAGGUCAAAUUAGGAAGGAAAAAAUAAAUAAAUAAUAAAGAUGCUGGAAACUUCUAGAUAAAGGGAACUUCGGUGUAUAGUUUAUCUUGCAUUGUUUUGGAUGGUUUGGAGGGAGGGGAAUGUGAGAAUCUUUUUUUGGAUAAAUGGAGGACCUUAGAAUACAUUUGGUAUUUGAUAGAUUUCUAUUCACUCUUCUCUCUCUUCAAUUUUUGGGGGUACUCCAUUGAAUAUUUAACUUAAUUGGGAUAUGGUUUGUAGGUCAAAGAGGGUUGGUUGUAAGACCCUUUUAGUCUCAACUCUACCUUGUUUGGGUUUGAUUAAGUUAAAUUUCUCUAACUAGUGCUUCUUUUCCCUUUGAACAUCUACUAUGCAUUCCAUCAAUGAACCAAUUUCUAGUGCGUAUCACACUAAGAUACAAUCUAAUGACACUAAUAUUCAUGUGCUUUUUACUAGUAACUAUUACAAAUGAGUCAUUUGCCCUUGUUUAAUUUUUAUGAAACUGCCACUUUUGCUUCCAUGUUAAAUCCUAUUCAAUAUUUUUCAGUUGUAUGUGUUUUGUGCUAGUGGUCUCCAUAUUGUGCCAUUCAAUAUAGAAUUAUUCUUCCCUAAAAUUCUUUUGUCUUUAGAGAAUUUGAUUUGCAAAUUUUUUCCGUUAAUAGUUUUGAUAUUGGUUAAAUAUUCCUAAUUUCAAGGUUUUGUUUUGUUUUCUGGUUAUUACUUUUUAGAAUAUUCUUUGUUUGCUUUUGUUUGCUUUGUUUUCUGUUUUUUUUAUUUUCUUCUUAUUUUCUUCUCACUUGCUAUGGGUUGUCCAUAUAAACUGCAUGUGUCUUUCGGUUGCACUGUCCUCGAUGCUUUUCUAUUACAUUUAUUUUCCUAUUAAUGGAAACUAUGUUGACAUCUUGCAAUUCUUGGAGGUUAACCUAAAUACAAUCUUGCCUUUUAAACCUUUGCUUCAAGCCCUAUCCAAGCUUUAGGCUAUUAAUUUAGGUUUGAAUGUUUUACUUAUAGACUUUAUUUUAUAUUAAGAAAAAUGACAUCAGAAGAAGGGGAAAACUUUUCCAUGCCAAGUGCGGGUUCAACUCCAAUUACAGGCAGUACUUCAACUACUGAUGGAACCUUGGUAUCUAAAAGAAGAAAGUUGACUUCGGUUGUUUGGAAUGAUUUCGAUAAAAUCAUAGAAGAUGGACAAGAUUAUGCUAUUUGUAAGCAUUGUAAGGGAAAGCUUAAGGCCGAUAGCAAGAAUGGGACAAAACACUUACAUGUACACAUAGAUAGGUGCAUGAAACGAAGAAAUGUUGAUAUUAGGCAACAAUUAUUGGCAGUAGAGAGAAAAGGUCAUGGAAAAGUUCAAAUUGGUGGUUUUACCUUUGAUCAAGAAAUGUCAAGAGAGAAGCUUGCACGUGCAAUUAUAUUGCAUGAGUACCCACUUUCAAUCGUUGACCAUGUGGGGUUUAGAGAAUUUGCUACUAGUCUCCAACCCUUGUUUAAGAUGGUUUCCCGCAAUACGAUUAAGGGUGAUAUAAUGAAGAUUUAUGAGGUUGAGAAAGAUAAGAUGAUUAGCUACUUAGAGAAACUUCAAAGUAAAGUUGCUAUCACAACUGAUAUGUGGACAUCAAAUCAAAAGAAAGGCUACAUGGCUGUCACUGUACAUUACAUUGAUGAGUCUUGGUUACUACACCAUCAUAUUGUAAGGUUAGUUAUGUUUUUUUUUUAACUUUCAAAGUGUUUUUUUAUUUGAUCCUUUAAUGAUAUUGUUUGUGUUAAUGAUAUUUUUUAUUCUUAAUUUAGGUUUGUUUAUGUGCCUCCUCCACACACAAAAGAAGUUCUUUCAGAUGUAUUAAUGGAUUUCUUGUUGGAUUGGAAUAUAGAUAGAAAAGUUUCUAUAGUCACUGUGGAUAAUUGCUCAAGUAAUGACGGAAUGAUCAAUAUCUUGGUGGAGAAAUUAUGUUUGAGAGAUUCACUCUUAUUGAAUGGAAAAAUUUUCCACAUGCGAUGUGCGGCACAUGUGUUGAACUUAAUUGUUAAGGAAGGUUUGGAUGUCAUUGAAGUAGAAAUUAAAAAAAUUCGUGAGAGUGUUGCAUAUUGGUCAGCAACCCCAUUAAGAAUGGAAAAGUUUGAAGAUGCAGCUCGCCAAUUGCGUAUUCCAUGCAAUAAGAAGUUAAGUCUUGAUUGUAAGACACGAUGGAAUUCCACAUACUUGAUGUUAUCAAUUGCUAUAACAUAUAAAGAUGUGUUCCCACAUUUGAAGCAACGUGAAAAAUACUACAUGGUUGUGCCAUCAGAGGAAGAAUGGAAUAUGGCAAAGGAAAUAUGUGGAAGAUUGAAAUUGUUUUACAACAUAACAGAGUUGUUCUCAGGACCAAAUUAUCCCACUGCAAAUACUUUCUUCAUCAAAGUGUGCGAAAUCAAAGAGGCAUUGUAUGAUUGGUUGAUAUGCUCAAAUGAUGUUGUGAAAACAAUGACAUCAAGUAUGUUGCAAAAGUUUGACAAGUAUUGGAGUGGGUGUCAUAUUGUGAUGGCAAUAGCAGCUAUAUUUGACCCAAGAUACAAGAUAAAGAUUUUAGAGUUUUACUUUCCACUAAUGUAUGGGUCUGAAGCUUCAAAUGAGAUAGAAAAAAUCUGUGGAAUGUGUUAUGAGUUGCUUUCUGAGUAUCAAUCAAAGUCUAAUUUGGGGCAAAAAACUUCAUCCUAUGGUACUUCAUCAGGUUCAACUCUUUUGGAGUUAAACUAUGAUGAACAAGAUCCUCUUUCAAAGUUUGACUUAUUUGUUCAUAGUACCAUUGGAGAAAGUCAUACGAAGUCGGAGUUAGAUUAUUACUUAGAGGAGUCUAUUCUGCCAAGGAAUUCAAAUUUUGAUGUUUUAAGUUGGUGGAAGACAAAUGGUAUAAAGUAUCCGACUUUGCAGAUGAUUGUUCGUGAUAUCUAUGCUAUUCCGGUAUCUAUAGUUGCAUUUGAGUCAGUCUUUAGCACGGGUGGUAGGGUGGUAUCAAAACAUCACAGUAGGCUUCAUCCAGAUACUUUGGAGGCCUUAAUGUGUGCUCAAAGUUGGUUAUGGAAGGAAAAAGAAGGUAACCGAUUUACAUAAUUAUCAAUUUUAUGAAUUGUUUUUUAUUAAAAUAUUUAGUAAAGUUUUCUAAUAUUUUUUUUGGUGUUUUUUUUUACUAGGUGAUUCAUCAAUUCAUGACUCACAGCCCCAACUCACAAUGAUGGAUGAAAAUGAUGAUUUACUUGUGCUUUAGAUUUUUUACUUAAGAUGAUGUUAGAGACAUUUUUCUUUCUUUUUUGCUAACAAUUUCUUUGUAAUGUCUUUUUUUUUUUUUUUUUCAAUGUUGUUAAGCUUAUGGAUAUAUUUUAAUUUUGGUUAUUAUAUUUUGGCAUGUCUUCUAUGAUGUUAAUUACCAUGGUUGUAACUAAGAACCACAUUCUUUACAAUCAAGUUCAAGACUUGCAAGGUAGAGUCCUUGUAAGGAAAUGUGGGUGUAGGAACAUAUGCUAAUUGAAGCCAACAAUGCGUUGAAAAGGAAGGUACAAAUUCUCAAAUGAACCUGGUCUUUUCUUUUAGAUUGACAUCCUGUGUUAUAGGAAGUGGGUCUGGUCAGCCUAGUCCAAAGGCCAUUAACAGGCCUUCUAAGUCCAGCUUGGUUAAAGGGGAUUUAGGAAUUUGAGUUGUAUUAGUAGUAACAUCGAUGAAGAAAAACUUCAUGCUAGAUUUCUAUUGCAUACUAACUGUCAAAAUUGAAGAAAAUUUUGGCUUAGUUGAUCAGAAUAUGGAUCCCAGUUGCAGUAGUUUUCAAUAAGUUUUCCCCUUGUCAGCAGCAGAAAAACUGGGAUCAAAAUCCAAAACCCACCAUAUGGUGGAUACAAAUUGGUAUAACAAGUCUUACUAAAUCUUGAGGAAAGUUCUUUAGAUGGUGGAUUUGUUACUAAAUGGAACCCAUUUGAUGGGUCUUGACAUGGUUUCUUGGUGGUCAUUGCAAGUCAUUCUUUAGAAUUGCAUUCAAAUUUUACAGGUUUGAGCUUCUACUCUCUCAUAAUAUACCUCUUGUUUUUGGUUUUUUAUUGUGACAACAAAUUUCCAAGUACAUUGAUGAGAACUAUAAAAAUUUCCAGAAUUUUCUCAACUUCCAUCUGAUAAUGUGCCGGUCGGUUUCAGUUGUGGUUAUGGUUGGGCAGGUAAUCCUCUCUGUUUUCAGAAUAAGGCUAUUUUUUUUUACAUCUAUACUUAUGCAGCCAUCAUACCUCUUCAAAUUAUGAACUUGUUGUGUUGGAAAAAUCAACAUUUGUAUACUCUUGUUUCAAUUCCAAUUCAAUCAAAAAACAGUUCCAUUAGAAGGUCAAGAUUUGGUGUAUGCAGAAUUGUUAUAGAUGAGACGCUAGGUUGCAGCCAGUCGGUUCCUUUGGAUGAUUGCAGCUCAAACCUGAUAAUCACCCAUCUUGGUUGGGGGUGCAGCUGAGCUAUGGUUGAUCUUUUGGGGCAUUGGGGUAGAGAUCUCUCUCUUUGUGGAUGGAUAUAUAGUAGGAUAGUCUCCUACUUCAUGCUAAGUAAGCACCCUCUCCCUCUCACAAAGAUAUAUAGUAGGUUGUCAAACUGCCCAAGGUAAGCCUAUUUUCUUUCUUUCUCCUUUUAUUAUGGUGAAAUUCCUUCAUAUUCAGCAUGCUAGAAAAAGUUACAAAUCUUCUGUUUGUUAAAUAGAGAAACAAUUCUUCUUUCCUUAUAAAGGCCUGCAAUAUUUGGAAUGGUUGUGGUGUGUAUACAGGGGCUUGACACAAUGGUGGGUGAACAUGGAACUCAGCUAUCUGGGGGACAGAAGCAAAGAAUUGCAAUUGCAAGAGCCAUUUUGAAGAACCCACGAAUCCUUCUUCUUGAUGAAGCAACAAGUGCACUGGAUGCUGAGUCUGAACGCAUCGUCCAAGAUGCUGAGUCUGAACGCAUCGUCCAAGAUGCACUAGUAAAUGUAAUGGUAAAUCAAACUACUGUAGUUGUUGCACAUCGUUUGACAACUAUCAGGAAUGCAGAUAUCAUAGCAGUGGUUUAUCAGGGGAAAAUCGUUGAGCAAGGUAACAUUAAACCUGGAAUUUCAUCUUAGAACUUCGGACUUAUGCACCAAACUAAAAUUUUCAAAAAUUGAAUCUUAGGAACUCAUGGGGAGCUGAUCAAGGACCCUGAUGGAGCUUACACUUAGCUAGUUCACCUGCAAUAAGGAAACAGUCAAGCUGGAAUUGGCCUAUGUGUUCCAAAACUUUCAGCAUGCCCCACAUUCUUUUAUAUUGGAUAUGUGGGUUUUGUAGUUUUAUGAUUUUAAACAUUAUAUCACGGGUUAUUUAUAUAAAUUUGAAGAAUGCUUCAGUUGUGUUGAGAGAAUGGAAAAAGAAUUAAGAACUUACUUAGGAUAUUUAUAUCAUGGAUGGGCAACAAUUAUAUAUAUAUAUUCUUAAAAGCAAAAUUAAUUUCUUUCCUAGUUUAGGGAAAAUCCUACCAGGAAAUGAAAUAUAUUAAAACAAAUAUUUGUAAUGCUUAGGAAAAACUCAUGGAUAACAGGUCUUCUUGCUCACAGUGGAAAUGAGGGCUGACGAUUCUGCCUUUUUCUUUUUCAGGUGGGAAUUGAGCUAGUUCCAAGGGAUUUUGAUAUGGAUUCUCCAUACCCUUUCCAAAAACUUGACGUUAUUAGCUUGGUACUAGUGCAUAAGGUGAUGAACAAACUAUGCUAUUUGAUAGAAGAAUAGAACACAUUGUUUCUUAUCUUGUCUUACAAAUAAUUAAACCAUUCAAUAAUCUGGAUUUAAUUGCAUUUCUUUUUCUUUUCAGCAAGCAGCAUGCUCAUCUGCAGAUGGACGACAACUUCUAGAAUCAUCAAAAACAACUAUAGAUAAGGGAAAACUUGAAGAUGCAGUCAGCUAUGGGACAAAGGUAUUUGAUUUAAAAGUCCAUCGGUUUGUCAUUUCUAUAUGUAAACUACCAAUCGGGUGCAGUAGAAAAAUCUUUCUUUGCAUGUUCAUUGGUAAAUUAAUAUGCUAUCUUUUGUAUUUUUGUGGUUUUUGCAGGCUCUGGCAAAGCUGGUCGCAGUUUGUGGUCCCUACCAUCGAAUGGCAGCAGGAGCUUACAGCCUCCUUGCUGUAGUUUUGUAUCAUACAGGGAACUUCAAUCAGGUCCAUUACGAGUCCAUUUUGUCUUGGUGUUCAUGGAAUCUUCUCUGUUAUAGAAUAAUAAAUUUGUUGUCUUUCUCAAUGUUCUGUUAAACUAUUUCUAGAAAUGCACCUAAUAGAUUUGCCUUUUAGGCUCCAGUCACUAUAUAGGCAUCUAACCUUCAAAGAUAUUUGGUGUUUUCCUUUCUUUGAGAAAGUUUACAUGAUAUGUGUUAGAGUUUGGUGACCCAAAUUCUACUUGGUCCGACCCAAAAAGCUUGCAGUGCGACAUAUGUAUUAAAGAAAAAUUAUGAGAUUUUUUCGGAGGUUUGUGGUGGUAGUGCAGGGAUCAGGUUAUGAUGUUUAUGCGUUGGUGUAUAGGAUUUAGGGUUGUGAUGUUUAUGCCUAUGUAGUAGUCGUUCGAAUCUCUCCCCUUUUGCACCAAUUUUUGACAUAGUGGAUUUUUUUCUCCUUUGCCUAUGGUUUUUCCCAUCUAGGGUUUUCCACGUAAAUCUAUGCUGUUUUUUUUUUUUUUUACUUGUUGCCUAUUCUUAAUUCAAGAGUUGUCCCAAUUCAAGGCCACAAUUUAUCAACAAAAGGCAUUGGACAUCAAUGAGAGAGAACUAGGACUUGAUCAUCCAGACACGAUGAAGAGUUAUGGAGAUCUUGCUGUGUUCUAUUACGGACUUCAACACACUGAACUGGCUCUCAAGUAUGUUGGUCUUGUGUAAUGCACUAUUGACUUUUCAUGUAUUAUUCAUAAACAUUUGUGCUUUCUUGCUUGAAAUUUCAGCAGUCAAGUUAUAUUGUUUUUCCCUUUUUUGAUACUUACCAUUUUUUUUGUUGCUACUGGAACUCAAACUUGAAACCUCCCUUCUUUAUUGUUGUUGUCAUUUAGUUUUUUUUUCACUAAAUAAGAUGAUAUUGUCAUUUAUUAUUGAGAGUCUGACAUGAAUAAAAGGGAAAUGGCUAUGCCAAUUAGUUUUUUAAAACCUUUAUUCUGACACUGUUUGAAUGAUAAUUUUGUUAAGUCAAGUCCCAAUUAUAUGCAGUGGAAAAAAAUUGAGGAAUUUUAUUUGACUAAAGAUUAUGAAGGAUGUUGAAUCAAAGGUUUGCACUAAUAUGUAAAUGCUAUUGGAGCACUAAUAUAAGAAUAUAUCCACCUUUGUUUGACUUGCCAAUGGCAUCUAAUAUAUUUCACUUGUUUAGUUUUCUGUGCACCAUUUGGACUGUACUUUAGAAAUAAUAUAUUAGCUUGUCUUCCAUAUUACUUGUUGAUCUUCUAAACAACUUCUAAUCAAUUCUCUAAUAGUUGAUAAAGCCAUAUGGUUCUGUCAAUAGAGAAUCUGGUGUACCUAUUGGAUAGAUUAGAAAGUGCAUUGGUUACAAAGAUGCUGACACAAAGUUUCACAUGACGCUACUAAAAUAUGAUUGUUAUUGAUCUGCUGACCUAAAAGUCAACCUGGUAGUAUGGUCAUAUAUAUGUAGUAUGUCCUCCUUCCAGGACUGCUUAUAUCUCUUUUGCUUGUUCAUUUCUUUUUAUUUAAUUGUUUGAUUCUUUUAAUAUCGGGCCUUUUUGUCUUUUAGGACUGCUUUACAUGAAGUAUACUGAUUAUUGGAUGCAUGUAGUUGAUGGGUUUAUCAAUAAUGUCAUACUAGUUUGUGCUCUAGUUUCUUUCUUAUGCUAGGAACAUAUGUACUUACCAUUAGGAUUAUAGGAGGAACUAUUGCUUCUGUAGUGAUUCCAUUUUGUUCUAUUAGGUUUCAGCAACAUGCUUCACUUUUUAUUUUGUUUGAAUGCUAAAUCAUAGUUUUUUUUUAAUUAACUUGAAAAUAACACCCCGUCUAAUCAUAACUUUUUCUGUAAGUUAUCAUGCUUUUGCCAAAAUGUUUUAAGCGAUGUAAAACACAGAAUUCUAUACUAUCCUGUUUAUCCAUGGCCUUUUUGCUUCCAUUUGAUUUUUACCCCUGGCCACAUUUUUCAUUGAUCAGAUAUGUAAAACGCGCUCUGUAUCUUCUGCAUCUCACUUGUGGCCCAUCUCAUCCAAACACUGCUGCGACAUAUAUCAAUGUGGCUAUGAUGGAGGAAGGCCUUGGACAUGUGCAUGUGGCCCUUAGAUAUCUUCAUAAACCUCUAAAGUGCAACCAAAAGUUACUUGGUCCAGAUCAUAUUCAGGUUCCUCCCUAUUUUAGCUUCUUCCUGUCUUUUAUUUUUUUGUUUAUUUUUUUUUCCAUUUAUAAUAUAGUCUUUUGAUUUAUAGUUGAUGAUGGAAUGAAAUAUUUUAUCUAAUGUGAGUUGGAACAUGGAUUACUUUGAUAUAUUGAAUGAGAACAUGGUGUGUGCUUACUUUGUGGUAUGACAAGGGUAGGCUCAUUGAACACUCACUUUGAAUGUGGUUGGUUUGAAAGUGCUUUUCUUUUUUUCUUUUUUCAUUUUUUGGUUUUUUUUUAAAUGUAUCAAGCACUUUUAGUUCAUAAUUUUCUCAAAGAUGCAUGGGAGCCUGUUAUUAAAUAAUGAAUUAUGUAGAGUGUAACUGUGUAAGAUCAAGUUUAACUAUGUGCUCUUAUCGUGCUCAAGUUUCUGCCUGCCCCUACCCACAACUCUGUUAUUGUUGUUGUAAUUGUUUUAUUAGAAGGAAAAUAAUUCGUUGCAUUGAACUUGGUGAGGACAAUGAAGGAUGAGAAAUCCUUCCAAGAUUUACAGAACUGAUAAAAAAGGAGCCUGGUGUGCUGUUUUUAAUACUAUUUUUAUUUUUUCAGUUGUUAUUAGUAUAGUAGUACUUUUACUACCAUUACACUAAUGGACACUGCCUUGAUAUCUUUUAAUGGAAGUUUUGUUUGUGUUUAUUAUGACUAUGCCAGAGUUUCUUAUUUGCUAUACCAUAGAAGGGGUAUAAUUGUAAUCUUCCCUGUUUUAGACCCAAUAAUCUUAUUUGCUAUAUUAUAGGAUGUUGAGCUUGUAAUGGUUUUUCCCCUCUUCAUUUUUUUUUUCCAAAAAGAGCAUCUCUUUUAUGCUUAACUUAAUAGUACUAAAUGGCUUAUUAGCUAAGGGUUUUCUCUUAGGAUCUGAUUCUCCAGUACAGAUUGAAGAUACGUAUUCUGCACAGUAGGGAAUCAGUACUGUUUAUAAGCAUAAUUUGUGCCAUAAGGUUAAAGCUAUCCAAUGAUUCUAUUGGGGUUGCUUCUGCUCAACUGUAAGCUUGGGGCUUUGCCUUCUUUCACAAAUACAUGUGAUAGGAUAGAAAAGUUCACAUGUUACCAUGUUGAUAAUAAUAUACUACACCUGCACGUAAGGACACAGCUUGCUCUCUCUUGCUCUUAGCUUCUGUCCAUGGUCAAGUUUGAGAUGAAGCUGUUCUGACUUAUGUAUAUAUUUUUUUAUCAAAGACCUUGCUUUGUCAUCUCUAGUUUCUGUCUUGGGAGAAAGGAUCUUAAAUUUAUGAUACUUGUCUCAUAGAAUCAACAAUACUAUAAAAGUUAAAAGAAAAACCAUCUAUAUGCUCCUGAAAAAUGCAAGCUCACAUUAUCAGGCCAUGACAUGAUAAAUAAUUUUUUUUUUCAAAAAAUUUAUUGAUUAUAAUAUUAAAAAUAUGCCAAAAUAUCGGGAUAAACUAAUAGACAGUUCUCAAGGAAAGAAUCAUGAGUCCAUGUUUUUCCUUGAUCUUGCAAAGUGGGCUAUUGGGUUUCUGUGUUAGAGACAAAAUGCUAAAAUCUUACUGAAGAUAUGUGUGUGUAAAUAUGUAUAUUAGUGAUAUAUAAACACACACGAAUUGGCUCAUUUUUUUUAGUUUAUCCGGCUAUUCAUUUUCUCAAAACCAAAAAAUAAAUUAUCUGAGUAAUAAUCCUAUAACCUGCUUGAACUGGUGAAAUGUCUAGGUCACCAGUUACUUCUCCUAUCACUCUUUUCAUCAUGAUUAUUAAGACCAAAAAGUAUAUCGAAUCCCUUUUUGUUUGAAUAGAAUGUUGUCUUUUGCAUCACACCUUCGAUUUAUCCCAUGUAGCUCUUUAUUUCAGUCAAGAAUUUCAGCAAAUAGCCCCACUGUUUAUGGAUAAAAAGGACAGGCCAAUUCUUUAUUAUAUAUCUUAUAAUUGCAUGUUUCUUGUGUAUCUUGUUGGGUUAUAGAAUUUGUUGCGCUGAGAUUGCUUUUUUACUUGAUUGGUUCAUCAAACUAAAAACCUGGAUAGAACCUUCUCAAUAUGCUAUAUAAAUUAAGCCUACUUUUCAGUGUUGGCUUGUAUUUUUAUCCUCAGUUGGAUCUACCUAUCUGCCUGAUUACCACCCUAUUACAAGUAACUUCACUUAGAUUGCAAUCUUAGAGACUAUAAAGAAUUCUGUGUAGAUGUGUGCCAACUACUGUUCUUCUGAACUGGGGAAUUUGUAAUCCUACCAUAGGUUGUAAGUUUUGGGUCUGUAAAACUGAUUAGUUUAUUACCAAAUUAUCUAUGCAUUUUGCUGAUGUAAGUCUCCUGUUUCUCUUCAUGUUUAUUAUGAUUGUUCAAGGUUGUAACAAUGAAUUCCUCUUGUUUAUAUGCAGAACCUCUGAACAAGGCUCUUCUGGUACGUAUAACUUGCAUUGAAAGCUCUCUUAGAUAUUCAAAGUUUUUCAUCCACCUAUUUCUCACAUACUAAAGUAGAGAUACUUCAUAUUUUCUUCUAAGGUCAAUCAUUGUUGUGAAAGAAUGGAAUCAUCUGUGUUGCCUUUGGAGUUCAAUGGGAACACUGAUCGGUGCAUAAUUCAAAGUGCAAUGUCGCAAUCUGUCCAAAGCAAUGUUUCUGGAGUUGUGGAUGCUUCUGCUUCUGAGGUGUCUAUACAUGAAUGUUUUAGGACCACAUCAAUGUUUGAGAAACAGGCUAAGGUGGAUGUCAUACUUCUAAAUUUUUGUAUUAUUCAUUGAACUUGCUUCCAGAAAUAAUCUGGAUUUGAAUAGCUUGUAAUGGGCAUUUGGUUUUUUGUUCAUCAUCAUCAAGCCUUUUAUUGGCAAUUUACUUGCUUUGGAGCUCUUUAUUGUUAUUGGGUUGUUCAUUGUCUUUGUAGUGGGUGCAUUCAUAACAUGGAGGACAUUGGUGUUAACGGGUAUCUUCAAAUGCUCUACAAUUGUUCUUGUUAAAGAAAGAUAUUUGACAACUAUUUGGUUUCAUUAAUAACCCCAGCCCAGCCCAACCCAACCCAGCAUAGCCCAGCACAGCCCAGCCUAGCCCCGCCCCGCCCCGCCAACACAUACCCGGGUCGAGACGGGCCGGGGAUGAGAUUUUAAUUUUAACUCUAUAACGGGGAUGGGAAUGCCCCACCCCGCCCCGCCCCGGGUUUGGGACGGGUUGGGAAAUAACUAAAUAUUUUGGGAUGGGAAUGUGAUAGGGGUGACCCGUCCCAAACCCGCCCGUUGCCAUUCCUAGGUAGUUUCCUAUUUUUCACAGGAAAAAAAAGGUACCAAAAAAUUUUCCACAAAAUUUGUUGACUAGGGAUACCGUUAAGAAAAAUGCCAAUUAGAAAAACUAAACUAUUGUAGAAAAGUUUGACUAAUUCCUUGGACGGCUUCCUAUUUUUCAUGGAAAAAUAGACACCAAAAAUUUUUCCACAAAAUUUGUGGGCUAGGGAUAAUGUCAAGAAAAUUCUAAUUAGAAAUGUUUGACUAAUUUCUUUGAUGAUUUCCUUUUUUUCAUGAAAAAACAAACACUAAAGGAUUUUCCACAAAGUUUGUGGGCUAGGAAUAAAAUAAAACAAAAAAUACCAAUUAGAAAAACUAAAUAGUGAUAGGAAAGUUUAACUAUUUCUUUUGGCGAUUCCCUAUUUUUCAUGAAAAAAAAAUAAGCAUAAAAAGAAUUAUUAGGAAGGAUCGUUUGGGAAGAUUUGGGAAAGUCUACAUUAGCUUUGACACUUCAAACAUUGCAAGGUGGUUGAUGUAUCUAACAAGAAUUGAAGAGUAAAAGUGUUUGGCCAAUUCCUUUAAUGGUUUCUUUUUGCCAUAGAGAAAUGGGCACUGAAAAAUUGGGUACUAUUGUUUCCUAAAGAAUUAAUCAAAAUGGCAUAAAAACAUCAAAUAUGUGAGGAUUGUUUUUAAGUAUUGUUAAAAUGGAAAUAUCACAUGAGACACAUGUGCUAAAUUAAUCUAGGUAUAUAAUGAAAAAUUUGACAAUAUACCUAGAAUGUGUUUUUAAAUUAUUUAAUUUUACAAAAAUGAGAGAAAAUAAAUAAAAUAAAUUUGAAAUAAUAUAUAAAAAUAAUUUAUUAAUAUUAAAUUUGUUAUUAAUCUUAAAUCUAUUUUUUUUUCUUUUUUUCUUUACAUUUCUUCCUAAAUUUUCAAGUAAUUAGUUUCCCACCGUUAUAAAAAGAAUUAACAGGAUGGACUCUUUGGAGGUGUCAACUUUCAAUAUCCAAUGUAGUGGGUAGUUGAUGUUGUCAACACGGAGUGAAAUAAGGGUUUUAAAUCUUGGUAGUUGAUGAGUAAUGUCUUAUUUAAAUUUUCUUUCUCAUUCUCUUUUAAUAAAUUAAGUAUGACAUAAUUUUCUUUUUUGAUAAAUUAAGUAUAACAUCAUUUUCUUUCUCAUUCUCUCUACCAACCACUAGAAAAAAAUAUUUAGAUAUAAUCUUUCUUAAUUACAAAUAUUUUUUAGAAUUUUCUUUUAAUUUCUUUAAAAAAAUUUAUUAGAUAAAUAAAUUCCAAAAUAAAUAAACACUUGAUAUACAUGAUUUAUUGAUGAGUUUAAUCAUUUUUUAACUACUAAAAAAUAAUAAACCAAAAUUAAUAUAUAAUAUGUUAAGACUUUACUCUUAUUCUUAUGCGCACAACUAUGCCUUCUAAAUUUUCUAUCUAAAUAGAUUCUAAACAAGUAAGACUUGUUAUUUUAAAUUCUUUAAUGAAUCUUUUAAUUAUUAGGAAUAAUUUGGAUUUUAAAAAUUGGCUUAAUUAAUUGUAAAGUAAAAAAGGUGUCAAUGUAGAAACAUUCAAUAUUGUAGGGUAGUUGAUGUUUAUAACAACAGGUACCAAAAUUUGUUACACAAUUUAUGGGCUAGGGAUAAUGUCCAAAAAUGCCAAUUAGAAAAACUAAACACUAGGGAGCUAUGACUAAUAAUCUUUGUUUUUCAUGAGAAGAUGGGUGCAACCGUAUUUAAAAGCAUUAUUAGGAAGGAUAGUCUAGAAAGGUAUCAUGUUGAAAUUUCAAAUAUCGUGGGGUCAUUGAUGUAUCUAGUAAGGAUUGAAUGGUAGAAUGUUUGACCAAUUCCUUUAAUGGUUUUUUUUUGUUAUGAAUGUUAUUAUUUUCAAAAGAAUUAAUUGGAAUGACAUAAAAUCAUAUAAAUUGAUGGUGACAAGCAAUGUAAAAAUGAGAAAAGUUUGGACGUCUAAAUUGGUUUAGCAUUUGUCUUAAAUGAUGGAGAAAUACGAUGACCAAAAAACUAGCUUGGAAGACAUGAGUCAAGAUAGUUGAGUUGGGUUUCGGCAAUUGUGUAUUUAAUUAUCACUACAAUAUGCAACUUCAAAUCUCUCAUCUCUCUCUCUCUUUCUCUCUCUAAGUUUAUGAUGUUGAGGGAAGAAAAUCUUGUGGGAGUAGGGCUCCUAACAAUCCUCCAUGUGUGCUUCCUUUCUGUUUGCGUUGCUGAUAAAAAUCAGACCUUCAAAUCUUCUUGCGGAGAUAUGAACAUCAGUGACCCUUUCCAAUUGGUAGAUGAUUAUGCGUCUGACCUCGGUUAUCCUUACUUGAACUUGAUCUGUGAAAAUAAUCGUACUAUGGUAAACCUCGAUUACGGCGGAAAAUACCAUGUUGCAGACAUCAACUACAGUAGCCAUACCAUUCGGGUAGUGGAUCCGGGCCUAAAGAAAAAGGGCAUGGG